rnacentral:lncRNA from 1 species
GUAACAAUCGGAGAAGCUCUGUAUUUUCAAAAUCCAUCACACAAAUGCUGCACAUAAGCCCUUCCUCUUUUUUGAUGUACUUUUCGUAGAAGACCACAGGUAAUUGUUGUAUUAAAGAGGAAUUUACAUCAUGGCUAUCGUCAUUGUUAUUAUUUAUAACAAUACCAGUAUUAUUGUUAUUAUUACCACCACCAUCACCACCAUCGCCAACACUACCAAAACGACUUCGUUGACUUCGGGCACGAUAUCGUUGGCAUAACCAAUAAACGAAGAUGAGCAAGAAGAAUGAGAAAACGAAACUCACAAGAAAAAUAAUAUCGUUUCAUUUGUUGUAAUGCUUAUCAUGAUCGGUUGAGUUGUUAGGAUUAGGAGAAAUAUUAGGAGAUGAUGUAGAUUUUAAUCUUCGAUAAUUGUAAUUCUCCAUAUGAUCUUAACCUGCAAAUGAAUCCACCAAGAAAGUAAUAAAAUUUAAUUGGUAAUUAUUUUUUUCAAGAAAUAAAGAAAAUCGAUACAAGAAAAUUCUCAUAUACCUUGAUGGUUUGAUGAUACGAUGGUUGAUAAUCAAGUUGUGUGUAUAAAUAGGAUAGGAUUUCAAUAUAUAUUAUUUUUUUUGGAUAGGAAAUAUCAAAAAGGUCCGAUCUUUUUUCGUUAAUUAAUUGGAUUAAUAAUUCGGUAACCAAAUCGCGUAGUAUGUGAUAAAUGGAUAAGUUUUUAUCGAUAUACCAGAAAUCUAGAUAAACUUUCCCCAAAUAAUUUUGAUCGAUGUACAUGGACACGAUUCUUCUCAUCUUCACUACAAAUACAUACUUUAUUAAUCGUUGGACAACAGAUAUUUACAUAGUCUAAAAUCGAUAUGCAUAAACUUUAUGAAUCAACAGAACUAAUAUUAUCAUAAAUAGUCGAUUGAUGUGAGGGCAGGACAACACAGCUGUAAGCCUGUAAGCUUAAAAUUUACAUCAUGAAUAAUACAAAACAUAAUGCAAUAAUAUAAAUUUAACAAUAAAACUAAGAAUAGUGUCAGUACCGAAAUUACAUUUGAUGACAGCAGACAAAAGCGAUUUAGGGCCGUCCCCAAGCCAUCGUUAAAUCCGUCCCUACAAGUCUGUUUUCUUGUAAUGAGUGUUAUGAUAGAAAUUCCAUUUGCUAUUGUUAGCUCGUCUCGAGAUUGUUACCCGACGUUGUUCAAAUCGAAGGUAAAUUUUGUGAUAGAUGUGAGACGCACGAUGGCACAUUUAAACCUCGGUUCAUCAGAUAUUUCCCCUAUAUAUAUAUUCAACCAAAGAUGAUCAUUCACCCUCUUCACAAUUGUAAACUCUCACAAUUGUCAACAUUUCGAUCUAUAGGAAUUAUCCGUUGAAUGCAAACUUUGUUAAUAUUUAUUAUGUCAAUUAUAUAGUAUUAAUAAUUGAUACAAAUAUACUAACUAUUUAGUUAACUUCCUUUAACAGACUUUAACUAACUUCUUGUUGACCUCCACAUGUUCUUCUUUUACUCCAUGUGGCUAAGUCUAAUACGGUCCCCACAAGCUGAAGGGGAGGGCUCCGGAUUGCUGACAAGCUAGCUUAGAAUGAAGCUUAACAAACGGAUUGGGUGGGAGAGCUUUUGUGAGAAUAUUCGCCCAUUGAUUGGUGUCUGGAAUAUGCUUGACGAUAAUAUCACCAUUUUACGAUUUUUCUCUCACAAAAUGAAGAUCUAAAGCGACAUGUUAGGAGCAAUCAUAUUUUUCCCUAUGAAAGUCACACUGAGAUUGUUGGAGGGAAUCACCAUCGGGCAUGGUACAUCGAUUUUGAGUUCCUGUAAAGUCAUGUGUACUGCUUCCACCUCUUGGGUAGUCAUCACCACCGCUCUGUACUUAGUCUCAGUGGUUGAUCAGGCAAGCGAGCUUUCUUUCCUUGACAUCCAGGACACUAGAGAAUCUCCCAUAUACACCAGAAAACCUAUCUUGCUCUUCCAAUCUAGAGUAUCGCCCCCCAAUCGGAAUCGGAAUAUGCUGUAAUACGAAAAUCCUUCAUUUUUCUUAUGAUAAUAUCGAACUUUUGUGUACCCGCCAGAAAACACAAGACCCUCUUCAUCACCAACCUAUGAAUCGGCUGGGGUAUCAUCACGAAUUGAAAAGCCAGUUGACUGCUAUCUGGAUAUUUGGAUGCGUUAAUGUGAUGUAUUGUGACACUCCUAUAAUCUGGUGAAAUUUCCUUAAAUUCUCAUUCCUUAAAUUCCCUUAAGUGAGUUUUUGAAAUUUCCACAGUAGAGUAGAGUCCAAUUGUUAAAGUUGGAGAAUAAAAAAACGAAAUUUUUUACAGCUAUGACUAGGGAAAGACAACCGCACAAUUCACUUUAUAAACUCAUAGGAAGGGAUGUAAAGAUGAUGAUUUCAAAGAUAGAUACACUACAAAAAAAAAGACCCUGUAUAACAGCCUUUAGAUGGCCGAUUUCCGCCAUCAAUAAUUCAGUUGUUUUGAUGGCGGAUGUCCGCCAUCCAUUGUUUGAGUCCGCCGAGGAAAGGUUUUUGGCUCGAUGACGGUUUAAAUUUAUUUUCAAUGGUGGAAAUCCGCCAUCUAAAAAGUCCCGCCCAAAAUUUCGAAAUCCCCCCCAAAAGUAAAUUGAUUACCUGAUUAAAUUGACUUAACAUGCAUGAAGGAUGUCCGCCAUGUUAAGUUUUCGGGGAGUCGAGAGGAAAAAGCCCAUCCAAAUUUCGAUUGAGCGGACUUUCACUUAAGUCCCGACGGAACUUAAGUGUACUUACAUGGCGGAAAUCCGCCUUGUAAGUUUUAAUUUGGGGUUUAUUAAAAACCCCAAAUCAGAACAGAACGUGUCUAUUCUUAAAAUUCCUACUGCCCCCGCCGGCCGACUCCUGCCCCUCCGCCGAGCUCCGUUUUCGCCAUGCGUCCGCCUCUGUUCUCGUCGUGCGUCCCUGCCUCCGGUCUCGCCGUUCGUCCUUGCUCCGUUCUUUGCUUUGGUGAGAUUUUGUUAUUUAUGUUUCAAUAUUUCUUAUAGAUUUUGAUUUUGUUAUUUUUUGGGUAUCUUUGAUUGUUUUUGGGUUAGGAUUUUGAUUGUAUCUAUGGUAUGGGAGAAGUUCGUGAAGGAUUUUGAUUGUAUCUAUUGUAUUUUGAUUUUGUUAUUUUGUGGGUAUGUUUGAUUGUUUUUUGGUAUGUUUGAUUGGGUUAGGAUUUUGAUUGUAUCUAUGAUUGUAUCUAUGUUUAAUUGUUUUUGUUAUAAUAUCUUAUGAACUUAAUAAACAUAUGAUAAUCUUUUAUUUGGAAUUAUACAUUUUGAUGUACUGUUUUGGUAAGUAAUUGGAAUUAUAUUUCAUCAUUUUGUUAUUGUAUUUUUUGUUAGUUCAUGUACUGUUUUAGUUUGUUGAAUUAGUGUAUAGUUUCAUCUUUAGUUUUCAUGAUUUUUCAUCUUUUCUAUUGAUUUAUUAAUAUAUACUAAUCUUUAUCAAUAUAUGAAUUAUAUUUGUGAAGGUAUCGAUCUGUAAAGGUAUUGAUCUCUGAAGUUAUCGAUCUUCAUCUGUGAAGUUAUAUAUCUAUCUAAUUUAUUUAAUUACUCUUUUUAUAUUGUUUUAAUUUAUUUAUUAGAAAUAAUUUAAAUAUUUUAUUAUAUAAUCAUUUAAAAACAGAAAAUAAUUAAAUUAUUUUAUUUAAUCAACUUAUUUUUAAAUUAUUGUAAUUAAAUAUCAAUUUAAUUAACAAUUUACAUGAAUCUAUAUCUUAAUUAAUUAUUUCCAUGAAAUAAAUUUGUUUAAAUUAUUUUAUGUUUUUAUUCAAUAAUUUAAUAAAAAAUUGAAAUAAUUAAUUAAUUUAUGUUUCUAAAUAAUUUAAAAAUUAUGUGAAAUAAUUAUUGUGUUUUUUAUUUGUUUUAAGUUUUCUAAAAUCGAGAUUUCAUAAGUUUUGGAUUGAAGUAAAAACUAAUUUACGGUAAAAAUUUAAUAAUUUUAUUUAAUCAACUUAUUUUUAAAUUAUUUAUUUUAUUGUAAAAAUAAAUUAUUAAAUAUCAAUUUAAUUAUCAAUUGAAAUAAUAAUUAGUAUAUUAUUAGUUGAUUAACAAUUAUUAAAUAUUAAAUAAUUUGCAUGAAAUUAUUUUAAUUUGCAUGAACUUAAUUUGUUAAUAAUGAAAUAUUUGCAUGAAAUUAUAUUUGAUUAUUUUAAUUAGAAAUUAUUUAAUUAAUUGUAAUACAAUUGAAUUAAUUUGCAUAAAAUUAUAAAUUUGUUAAUUAAUUAGUAAUUAUUAAAUUUAAUUAAUAAUGAUUAAUUUGCAUGAAAUUAUAGAAAUCUUAAUGAAUAAUUAUUAAAUUGAUUGAUUUUAAUUAUUUUAAAUUGAAAUAAUAAUCAUUAAUUUGCCAUGAAAUUAAAUUUGAUAAUUAAUAAAAUUAUUAUUUGUUUAAUAAUUAAUUUUUUUUUAGAUUUUAAAAUUGCCACGUAGAGUAAAGCAAUUACCUCAUAAGAGGGCUCUACCACCCAAUCGUCAAUAUGCUUUCCGGUUUUAUCUCUCGGUUAAUCCUGCACCGGCACCAGUACGUCCAGCAUCGGCCCCUCCCGCACCGCCGACACCUGUUCGUCCAGCACCGGGCCCCUUCAGUUCCGCAACCAGCAACUCCGAAGAAAGUUGUUUAUGAAACGGAUUCGAAAUAGUUAAUUAGACCUUUAAUUAGCUACAUUUUCCUUAAAAAUCUGAAUUUAAUAUUAAUUGAACUAUAAUAUUGUAAUAGUCAAUUAAGUUUUGUCUAAUUAAUUAUAAUUUGAUAAAAAUUUAAUGUGUGGCAUAUUUCUCCGAGUUCUUCAAGGAUAGAGGGGACGGUAUGGUUAGGACCAGGAGGGAUUUCAAGAGAUAGGUUACAAAUUUACAAUAGAGAGAAUCUAGAUCUUAUGAGAAUCCCAUAAUACCAAGAGAUCAAAGACAAGGUAUUCCACCUGAUCUCGAAUAAAAGUUCGGAUGGGUUUAAUGUUAAGUUCUUUCAAGAAUCAUUGAAAGUCAUAGCUUCAAAUCUGAUACAUGCCAUUCAAUCUAUCUUUGUCACGGAAACCUUCUAUUGGAGGUCAACCACACCUUUGUGACACUGAUACCAUAGUGGUAAAGGGUUGAGACAAGGGGACCCACUAUCCCCCUUACACUUCACUCUAUUUAAGGUUGUCAACGGGUCCGGGUCUGACCCGGACAUCCGGGCCCGGGUCUGAACCAAAUUCAGGCCCGGAUAGCCGGGUCUAGCUUAGCCAGAGCCGGCUGGACCCAGACCCGGUUAUUUUAAAUGUUAAAAAAAAUAUAUUAAUAUUUUAGUAAGUUUAGGGGUUUAAAUAUAAAUAAUUUAAUAUAUAUUGUAGAAUAUAUUAGAAACUUAAAAAUUUAAUAUAAAUACACCAAUAUUUGUUUAUUAUGUUUAUUUAUUUUAUUAAAAUUUAUUAACUAUUUAUAUAUAUUUUUUAAUUAUUUAUUGUUUUUUGGUAAAAAAAUUUAUUUAUUUGGACACGGACCCGGCCCAGACCCGGGCCAAGUUCAUGGGUCUGGGUCCGGGUCCAGCUCAGCCGUCCAGAUCCGGUCCAUUUACAGCCUUAACUCUACUCAUUGAAAAUAUCUCGAAAGUCAUCGAGGAGAGUUUAGAUAGGAAGGAAAUACAAAGAUAUGUGAUCCACAGAGCACUAUUUGUGUUACAACUCUUUUAUGCUACCGACCUAAUGGUCUUCUGUAAGGCCAAAAGGAAAUCAUUUACAUUACUAGAAAACAGGGCUACGCCCAUAGGCUUAGCCACUAAUGGCAAAAGCCGUGGCUAAUUGUUGAAUAUUAGCCACGACUUUUUUAUCCGUGGCUAAUCCCGUGGACUUUUUGAAAAUUUAGCCACGGAUGGAAAAAAAUCCGUGGCUAAUUUGGUGGCUAAAUUUCCUGGGAAAAAUCCCCUCCAUUUUUUCACUCAUUUUUUCCACGGAUUUUGAAGAGCCAUGGCUAAUCGAUAAUAAAAUUAGCCACUGAUAUUUUAAAUUAUUAGCCAUGCCAAAUGUCGUGGUUAAUAAUUAUAAUAUAUAUAUAUCUAAAUUUAAAAAAUCAGAGUUAGGAUUAAGGUUAGGGUUAGGAUUAAUAGAAAUUAACAAAAUUAUUAAAAAAUUACAAAAAAUAUCAGGUAAGAAUCCCUUUUUUGAGUUUUACAUGAGAACUUCAUCUCACCCUUCCAUUUCUUUAUGACUCCUAACUCUUCCUUCUUUACUUGUUGCAACAGGUUACACUCUCUCUCCCUUUGUACUCUUUUUCUAUUAAAUUUAGUUUUUUUAUUCACUCGCACUCUCUCACCUCACACACAAUGUCAAAAAAAAUUCUUCCUCUCUCCGCACAUAUUCUAUCUCGAUCUGUAAUUUUUUUUUAAUUUUUUUCCUUCUCUACCAUUUCAUUAUCUCUCCAUCCGUCCGUCUUUGUCAUAUAUUUCUAUUUUUAAUUUUUUUUAUCUCUCCCGCUCAUUCCUCUCAGUCCUUUUGUGCCUAUCAAAGGUUUUUCUUUCUUCUUCCCCAUACCCUUGUCGGUAGUACUUCCAAUUUUCUUCUCUAUGACUUCCAAUUCUUCUUUGUAGUCAUAUCCCACAACAUUAUCUUCUUACGUUACCUACAUCUAGCCUGACAUUUGUACUCCCCUACCUGUGUUGUUUUCUUUGUUUAUUUUUUGUCUUUUAUCUUUUGUCAUUAUAUUUCAUCCCAUUCAAUCACUCUCUUCACAAUUUUUUCCUUUUAUUACACUAGGAUGUUACUAUAUUUUAUCGAUAUGCAUUGCUAUUUCAUUUUUUUUACUACUAAAAUAAGUAAAUCAUGUCAAUGUCAUCUUCUUUCUAUUCUCUCUUACUUAUUUUAAACACAAUCUUUUCUCUAUCCAAAUCGUCCUUACCAACCACCACAUUGUCCUUCCAAUCUGUUCAUCCUUCCUUACUCGAAUUUGCCACAUUCUCACUCGUCCUCACUCUUUUUUUUUUCUUUUUUUCAACGUCUUCUUUUUUAAAAUUCCCAAACUAUUCAUCAUCUUCCUUCUCUAGCUUCUUCCGUUCUUGCAACCCAACCUCUGUUUUCCAUGAGUUUGUCUUCUGAUUGAAGGUUUGUGUUCUAUUAUUCUUUUUUUUUCCCUUACAUCGAAUGAUAAAUUUUUUUUUUGCUGACACAUGCUUGAUUACGUCAGUCACUCCCAUCAACGCCCCUCAACAGAGACUAGGGUUCCGUUCACUUUAUGUCGGACCCCCAGAAGGUUCCCACGAUUGCGGAAUAAGGGUCGUCGACCGGGUCUAACACGUAAAUCGCCGAUUAGGGCUACCAAUUCGCCGAUUUCAGUGGCAAAUCGCCGAGUUGAUGCCGAGAUAACUAGCAUUGGUAGGCUGUAGAUCUCGUUCCUUUGAACUCGCUGAUUUGUCCCUGAAUCGCCGAUUCACGACCAUUACUCGUCGUCAUCCUGCGGCAUUAAUGCACGCCAUUAUGGUUGGGCAUGAUGCCCGCCGAGGAAUGCGCCCCCACAGACCCUAUAAAAGGGGUCCCAAGGGCUCAUUCCAUGGCAGAACAGUUCCACCCAAUCCAGAACAAUCACGGAGAGAAUCGCCGAUCCCACACCUGCAUCGCCGAUUCUCUCCCGGAAGAUUUGACGUAGAGUACGCGUCGUGGACUCCAGAGCCUGUGGCAUCCUCGCACCACCGCGGGCCUCUAGUAGCAUUUCCUGUGCUCCAUCAUUGUAAUAAUUAGUUUAAAUACUAAUUGUAAUUAGUUUAGGCGACUAAACCUAGCUCUAGCCUUCUUCUUGACGCAAGGCAUUUCCGGAAGACGAUUCUGUCAAAUCGGCUCCGACCAUCUCUCCAAAUCGAAACCAACACUAGUUUUAACACAUAAAAAUGGUUUGAUCGAAUGUGCUUCAUCUGAGACUCGAACUGACUGUUUCUAUCUCUUGUGCUUCUCCGCAAAAGAAUUAUUUUUCUUUUGUUUUUGAUAAGACGUCGGAUAUGAUGAUUGAUGACCUUUAUUGAUGAUGAGUGAUACCGCGGUGAUGACGAUGAUAAUGAAAUAGGAGUCUUUCACCUCUUUGGGACACGAUAAGUGUCCAUUGAUUAAUAUUAGUAAUGGUUCUUUACUUGAUCUUGGGUUAGUGACCACGAUUGCGGAAUAAGGGUCGUCGACCGGGUCUAACACGGCACACAUUAGGUGUGCCGAAAAGAAGAUGCACUAAAUGUGCCCGUUUGUGUUAGUCGUUGGAUUAACCCCGUAUGUUGGAUUAACCCCGAAUGUUACUGACAAGUUUUUAAAUAACAAUAAAAGUAAUGUGUGGAAUGAUAGUUCAGUAUUAAUGAGGUAAUAUUUCUUAGAUAAUUGCAUACUACUAAAUAAUGGAAUAAAAAUAAAGAAGAUACACUAAAAGAUUUAAGAUGAUAAUUGCAUACACUAAAUAUUUCUCUUGUCUUUGACAUUUGUCGAACUCCGGUGUUGCUGUCAUCCUGUCCGUAGUUCAUUGUCGGUGUUGUUCGUUCCCUACCUCUAGCGUUGUUCAUAAGAAUCGUGAGUAGUUUGACGAACGGUGACAUGUUAGGACAAGUGAGUAACUAGAAUUACAGAAUGAAUAAUACUAAAACAUAAUGAAAAAACAUAAAUAAAUAAUAAAAUUAAUAUUUAUGUGAUUAACGUGUUUAAAGGUGGUAACAUAAUGAAAGUAAACCUGAUGAUGAGUAGUUCGUGUACAGUGAGAUGGUAGGAUAUGAGACAUUUAAUCUUAUGAAUAGUAAUAAAAUAUUAUGACUAACCAAAAAUUUACAAUAAAUUUAAUCCUUAUUGUCAGUAUCGCAAUAAAAGUUACAGACAGAAGACAAAAACUAAUUUUACAAACAAUUAUUUGAUGGAAAUUCAUUCUGAAAAACGGGAGACCAUAGGAUGGUAAAAGCUUAAAUUUUAGAGGUUCGGGGUAAGAUGGCUCAUGGAGGGCUCGGAAUAUCAUAUAUUUAACCUAUAUAUAGGUCGAUAUUUAACCUAUAUAUAUAUCGAAAAUAAGCUAGAGAUCGAGAGGAGGAAGUGGAUAUAUCUUGGCGAUCUUCUUCUUCUUAUAGAUCUUCUCGUCCUCGUCUCACAUGUUGUGGCAGAUGAUAUCUUCAACAACGUCGAAAUAACAUGGGGCAGGAGUAGAGGUGAGAUUAUAGACAGAGGUGGACUGCAAUAACUUUCUCACGAUAAAAUAUCCAGAUCAGGAUUUCAGUCUAAACAGGAAUACCUGUUUGGAAGAAUCGACAUACAGAUCAAAGUUGUUCUUGGCAACUUGGCUGAAAGAGUUACCGCUUAUUAUGUACAUUCAUUUUUGCCUCUUUUUAUCUUAUCAUCGAUCAAAUUAUGCAUACUCCAAGAUUUUGCAUAUAGUCGCAUAUGCGUGCAUAAGUGACCAGACGCAUUCCCCGACCCCCAUCGCAUAUUUGGAGGGUCGCUUAUUUUUGUGUCUUAGUUAGAUCCGGGUAAGCCUGACCCAUAUACCUAAUAAACAUUUGAAAAAUAAAACUUUUAUAAUAAAAAUGAUAAUACUUUCUCCCACCACCUCCCCAAUCCAGAUCUUCCUCCUCUCCUCUCAUCCUCGAUGGCCCUUUCUGCACCUCACCGGAGCCUUUAUUCCAAUUGUCAGACGUAUCCUUUCAGUUCGCCGGAACAUCCAGAUUUCUGGACGGGUAUUUUCUUCCAAUCUUUUUAUGUUGAAAAAAAAGUAAAAAAAUAUAUUAAAGAACGUCGGAUAUUGGGUCGCAAAUGCGACCAGGCGCUCGCAUAUGCAAUAUGCGCACCCAGGCAUCGCCUCUUCGCCUGAAAAAUCUUUGCAUACUCCCAUACUCUCCUCCUCCUACCGUAUAUGCAGAUGUCGUCCUAGGGAGAUAAUCAUAACGAGAUAGAUUUUCAGUUCCUUUGGAACUUGAGUAGUAAGCCAUACACCCUACCCUCCACACUAAUAUCUGCAUGCAAGGGAAAGGAUACAGGGAACAACUUUUCUAACUGUGGUUUGAUCCUCGGCUUGAAUUUCAUACUUAUACCAUUAUCUGGAAUCCCACAAACAUCAUGUAAGUACCACCUUACAAACAUCUGACGUACAUACUCAAAAACACGCAUGAUCAAUCUCUUUAUAUAUGCAGUCGGUACAUGGACGACGUACCCAUUAGAGUGUUUAGAAACGUUCAAGAGCAACUCGGCGUACCUUAUCCAAAAAACCAAUCCCAGAGAGUUUACUCUAGUCUAUGGAAUGAUAAUAGAUGGGCCAUAAGAAGCAGUCUUGUCAAGAUAGACCGGUAUCAGGCUCUCUUCACCGUCUCUUAUCUGUAAAAUAUAUUUAACUAUAUUGCUCAUUCUCUGACUUGUAGGUCUACUUUUAUUCAGUUUAAUAUGAUUUCAUAUUUCAACAGGGAUAUGGUCAUUAUUUAAUUUGAGAAAGUUAAGCAAGUCAGGUGAAGUGUGAGUCGGAGCGACGUUGGGAGAUCGGAGGCGACGGUGAGGAGUCGUUGGAGGAGAGGAGACGAAUCGUUUAGAAACCCUAGGGUUUAGAUUUUGUAUUUAGUUUCUGGAAAAAGUUGAUUAAAAUAUUACAAUACAUGACUAUAUAUACUAUCUUCUAUUGGGCCUUGAGUAUGGGCCAAUUUAACUCUAUCUAAUUUAGCAUUGUCAAUUUAACUCUAUCUAAUUUGGAUUAGCAUUAAUCCUUUAUGCUUCAAUACCCCCCCUUAAGCUGGAGAGUGUAUAUCAUAGAGUCCCAGCUUGGGUAGUAGAUUCCUGAGUGACUCCAAGCUUGCUGGUUUUGUAAGAAUAUCUGCAAUUUGAGCAUUGGAUGCAACAUAAUGUAAUUUAAAUAAUCCUGCUUGUAAGUGGUCACGAACUAGAUGGCAAUCAAUCUCAAUAUGUUUAGUACGUUCAUGAAAGACUGGAUUGGAUGGUGUGUGGAUGGCAGCCAUGUUAUCACAAUGCAGUGUUGUUUCCUCUGUGGGUUUAACCUGCAAAUCAUUUAAAAAAUAGUGCACCCACAUAAUCUCACAAACUGUUGAAGCCAUAGCCUUGUAUUCACUCUCAGCAGAUGAUCUGCUUAUCGUGGAUUGUUUUUUUGACUUCCAAGCAAUGGCUGAACCACUCAAAAGAAUGGAAUAACCUGUUAUAGAUUUUCGAGUGUUGAGGCAAUCAGCCCAAUCUGCAUCACAGUAGGCUUCAAGUUUUAAUGAUGCAUCUCUUCUGUAUAGUAUUCCUUUCCUAGGAGCACCUUUGAUAUAUUUUAGAAUUUUUAUUGCUGAAUUGAAGUGGGAUUGCAGUGGGUUUGCAAGAAAUUGACUGAAAUGGCUAACAGAAAAUGCAAUAUCUGGUCUUAUUAUUGUGAGAUAUAAUAGUUUGCCAAUUAGUUUCCUGUAAAUUGAAGGAUCCCUCAUUGGGGAAUCAUAUUCAGAGUUUUUGUAAUUGUGAGACAUUGGUAUUUUUGAUGGGGAGGACCCCAGUUGAUUAAAAUCAUGGAGAAUAUCUAGAGCAUAUUUUCUUUGGGAUAAAUAGAUACCUUUAUCUGAGUGAGAUACGUCAAUUCCCAAAAAAUAUUUGAGUUUGCCCAAAUCUUUUAUGUGAAAUUGAUUGUGCAGAUGAUUCUUCAGAUUUUGGAUCUCUUCUUAACUAUUACCAGAUAUGAUUAGAUCAUCCACAUAUAUUAGCAGGCAUGUGUAAGAAUUUUCUUUUGAUUUAAAAAAUAGUGUGUAAUCAGAAUGUGAUUGAGUAUACCCAAAAUUUGACAGUGAGUUUGUAAGUUUCUCAUACCAAUUUCUGUUGGCCUGCUUUAGGCCAUACAGUUUGCAAACCCUAGAAUCACUUUCAGGUAACAUACCAGGGGGUGGUGACAUGUAGAUCUUUUCUGACAGGUCACCAUGCAGGAAUGCAUUACUAACAUCCAUUUGGUAUGUUGCCCAAUUUUUAAUGGAAUCUACUGCAAGUAGAGUCCUUAUUGAUAUAAUCUUUGCUACUGGGGAGAAGGUUUCUUUGUAAUCAAAGCCUUCCACUUGGGUGUGACCUUUGGCCACUAAUCUAGCUUUAAGCCUCUCAAUGUCUCCAUUAGAUUUAUGUUUGACCUUGUAGACCCACCUGGAUCCCACUAUCUUCCUGCCCUUAGGUUUGGGUACUAUUUCCCAAGUGUCAUUUAACUCUAUGGCAAAGAGUUCCUCAUUCAUAGCCUUUACCCACUCAUGGCUCUGGCUUGCUUGUUGAAAGGAAGAAGGUUCAGUUGUUAUGGAUAUCUUAUCUAGAUAGUCAAUAUGAGAGGUAGAUAGUCUUUUGUAGGUUAAGUAGUCAUGCAUUGGGAAUGCUGUUUCUUUGGAUUUGCCCUCACUUGUUGCAAAUGAGCAGUAGUAAUCAUUUAACCUUAUUGAUGGUUUGGUUUCCCUCCUAGGGUAUCUCCUAGGCACUGUGUUUUGGUCUGGUAGAGGGUUUUCUUCCCUCUCUGAUUAAUUAUGGAUUUGUUAUUGAUCUUCCACUGUCUCAGUGGAAGUCUCAGAACUGUCUUCAUCACUAAUUUGAGGUAUAUCAUCCUCCUCUUCAUUUAUAUUAUUUUUGAGGUUUGUCUGAUCUAAUUCUCUUUCUUCUUUAAGUGGAAAAAUAUUUUCAUAGAAGAUUACAUCUCUGCUGACAGAGAUGUUAUGAUUGUCUAGGUCAUAUGUUACGUGACCCUUUUGGGUUGGGGAUUUACCCAAAUAGAUACAUUUCCUAGCUCUGUGGGAAAAUUUAUCCUCUUUUGUGAGACAUGUCACAUAACAUAGAUAUCCAAAUGUCCUAAGGUGUUUGAAUUUUGGCUCUUUUGAGUGUACUAGUUCAAAAGGUGAUAGGUUUUGAGUUAUCCUAGAAGAUAAUCUGUUUAUGAUGAAUGUGGAGUGUAAUAUGGAGUAUCCCCAAAGUUCAAUGGGCAGUGAUGAUUGUAUCUUCAGUGCCCUAGCAACAUUCAGAAGAUGUUGGUGCUUUCUUUCAACCACACCAUUUUAUUGUGGUGUGUGUGGGCAGCUAGAGUAGUGGAUGAUUCCUUUGUCUUUCAGAAAUUCAUCCAUGGUUAGGGAGAAGAACUCCUCACCAUUGUCCAACUUCCCUAAUAGCUUUAGAUAUUGAAUUGAUUAGCAAUUAAAACAUAGAAUUUUUUAAAUAUAGGAAAACAUUCAGAUUUUGAAGAGAUUAAAAAGGUCCAAACAUAUCUAGAGUAAUCAUCCACAACAGUCAUAAAAUAUUUCUUCCCAUGGAUGGUUGGAGUGUGAAAGUUCCCCCACACAUCCAUGUGAAGGAGAUCAAAUGCAUUUUUAGAUCUAGAUACUUGUGUUGAGAAUACUGUUCUAGAUUGUUUAGCAAAAUGACAAACAUCACAGUGUUUUGGAUAGUCAGUAUUAUGAGAAUCAGGAGAAAUAUUGUUCAAAAUAAAUUUAAGUCUGCCACAUGAAGUGUGGCCCAGUCUAUUGUGCCAAGUUUUGUUGAAAUGGCACCAGUAAAAUGUUUCUUACCACCAGUGUGUGAUAAAAUGUAUAGUCCACUCCUCAGGCUACUCUGUCCAACUUCCCUCAUCAGAGCCUUGUCAUAGAUAAGGGCAGAAGAUUUAGAGAAUUGAACUGAAAACUUAUCAUUUUGAGUCAGCUUGCUGAUUGAUAACAAGUUGACCUGGAAUGAUGGUAUAAAGUACACAUCAUUUAGUAUAAUGUAUGGUGAUAUGAUGAUAUCUCCCUUCUGAGACACUAUCUGUUUAUCACCAUUAGGUAAUGAAAUUGAAAAUGUUUUGCAUUUUUGUAUAUUUUGGAAAAGGGAGUUGUUCUCACUCAGGUGCUCAGAUGCAUCUGAGUCAAUGAUCCAAAAAUUAUUUUGAUUAUUGCAGUUUAAAAUAGAAUUGACAGUACCUGAACCUGGACCUGUAUAUUUGGGAAGUGGCUUAGGAUUGUAUUUUUCUGAAUAGAGAGGAAACCCAUGGAGGCCAAUUGGGUCUUCAGAUGUUUCUGUCUUCUUCUUGCCCUUGUCCCCUUCAGACCAAGCAGACCAGUUCUCCUCAGUGGACACACAGUUGGUUGAGCCCUAUGGUUUUGCCUCAGUUGUUGGAGUCACAGUAGGAUUGGUUCUCUUUGUGAAUGUGGUGCCCCUGGAUGAUGAUGGAUACCCAUGCUGAUCAAUAAAGCAUUUUUCAUCAUGCCCAAAGGCCGCACAGUGGAAGCAGUAGUAUCUUGUAUUAACUUGUUUGCCACUUUUGUAAUAUAGAGGUUCUGUUGGAGUAGGUGGCCUUUUCUUGGAUUUUGGGAUGCAGGAGUAUUGUGAACUGGUUUAGGUGUGUGUGAAGAUGAAGCAUUGUUGUUGUUAAAAUGUAUGUUUUGACUUUGGUUCCUAGCUGAGUAAAAUGCAGAUGCUUGGUGACUGUUGUUAUGCUCAGAGAGUUGUAGUUUUGAUUCUUCAUGAGCCACCAUGGAAUAGACUCUACCAAAGUUAGGUAGUUUCUCUAAUGAUACAAUGUGAGAUCUGACCUGCCUAAAAUCAUCCCCAUGAGGAACUUCCUGAUCUUAAGCCUGUAUUCUUUGUCAUUGACCCUGCCACUCAUAUUGCAUUCACACUUUCCACAACUGCAUUGUGGUGUUUCCCCAUAGGCAUCAACCUCUCUCCAAAUGGAUUUAAGGUUUGUGCAGAAUUUAGAAACACUGUCACUUCCUUGUUGCAUCAAGGCAGCAUCUUAGGAUAACUGAUAAAUGUGUGUUUCAUUUGACUGUCUGAAUUGAUCCUUAAGAUCAUUCCAGACGACAGACGCAUCAUCAAUAUACAUGAUUUGGGCUGCUAUAUCUUUGGAGACUGAGCUCCAGAUCCAUUGCCUGACCACCCCAUGACAGGUGAUCCAGGCCUCAAGUUCUUCUGCUUCUGAAUCAGCAGGCCUCUUCAUAGUACCCAGAACAAAUCCCAAUUUUCUUCUUGUCAACAGUAUGGUGGUCAUCUCCCUACUCCAUGGGUAGUAGUUUUGACUCCCUUGUAAGACAUUGAUCACUGAAAGAGGGCCUGAAUCAGAAGAUUUUAUGUAGUAGGGAGAUGUAGGGUCAAAGAGUAGACCUCCUCUUGGUCCCUUUUCAACAGCUUCAGCCAUUUUUUUUUGGAUCUGUUGAGAUGGCAAAGAUAUGUCAAUAUGAUAUAUGGAUGGAUCUCACACUGAUAAUAAGUGAGGAUUAGAUUUGAAUUGAAUUUCAAGAUUAGUUUGAAUUUAUUUUGGUUAUUGGUGAUUGAUUGUUGCAUAUGAGUUAUUUUUGGAUUUUUGAGUGAUAGGAGAGUAAUCAUUAUAUCAUCAAUGGGCAGAGUAUUUAAUUUGUGCGAAAGCGUUUGAAUUUGAGUUUUUACUUCUUGAAAUGAAUUUGGGAUCCUCUUGAGGUACCUGGUGUCCUCAAGAUUUCGGGCAUGGUUGGCAGUGUCCUCAGAGAACACUGGUGGGUGACUCUGAGGUCUUUUGCCUAAAAUCUGACUGGUCAAAUUAGGGAAGUGAUUGGUGUAUGGUCCAGAUGUGCAUAUGUGCACAUGGAGUACAUCACCACUUAAACACAUCAUUAUAAAUAUCAAAUCAUGCAAAAAUAUGGCAUAUUCAUGAACAAUCACAUAAGUACAACAUAGACAGUGUGUAUAACCUUUACAGAUAAUCAUGUGCAAGAAAAUCUUUAGUAGUAUUACCCUACACUUAGCCUUAACAUAUAUGCUCAGUACAUGAUGUAUGACAUGAAAUGUAUGUAUAGGGAGAGAUCCCUGUGAUUUAUUAGUGCCUCCACAGACAAAGAGUGCAUCGUGUGGCUGAGCCAAGACAUUAGAACUCGAAAUAUCAUUAUAGAAUAGCAUGUAAAGAAUGAGAGUCAUGCAUGCAGGAUGUAGAACAUAGUGCAUGUUUAAGAUGUCGAUGGCAUAACAUAAAUAUAUGGGUAGUAUGUGGAUGUGAUAUGAUAUAGAAAUAACUAUUCAAUAGAUCGCAAACUAGAGAUAGGCUAUUUCGUUUUGAAGAAAGAUCAUAUAGCAUGGAUAUAUAAAAUAAACAUGUAUUGAAUGACAUGCACAGUGUGUAGCAAGAUAACACAUACGAUAAGUUUUUGACCCUUUUAAGAUGGAGUAUCAUGUAUCGAUCUAGGGCUUUAUAUUUUACCAAACGCGGUUUGAUGAUGCUUCGGUUUGAUCGACGGCAGUGAGAUGGAGCUUUGGAUUUUGGGGUUUCCAGAGAGGCGAUCGACGCAGUACUUCACGAGUGCUCUAAUACCAUGAGAAAGUUAAGCAAGUCAGGUGAAGUGUGAGUCGGAGCGACGUUGGGAGAUCGGAGGCGACGGUGAGGAGUCGUUGGAGGAGAGGAGACGAAUCGUUUAGAAACCCUAGGGUUUAGAUUUUGUAUUUAGUUUCUGGAAAAAGUUGAUUAAAAUAUUACAAUACAUGACUAUAUAUACUAUCUUCUAUUGGGCCUUGAGUAUGGGCCAAUUUAACUCUAUCUAAUUUAGCAUUAUCAAUUUAACUCUAUCUAAUUUGGAUUAGCAUUAAUCCUUUAUGCUUCAAUAUAAUUAAUAGACAACUGACGACUACAAACUGUACCGUCGAUGAUGUGAACUCCUACGUUUCGCAGCCAGUGUGCAAGCAAUAUCUAAGUCGAGCAUGUGGUCCGACCCAGACACAACCUGUUGUUCUUGGGCUGUGAUAUUCAUGUACGGAAUAAGGUCGGCGUCGGUGUCUUCAAUAAGAUUCCGGAAGACAGGACAUGUCAUGUAAAUCUUAAGCCAAUCUUCGAUACAUAGACUGUGGAAAGCAUGCUCGCACUUGGGUAACAACCGGAGAAACUUUCUAUCUUCGAAAUCCAUCACACAAAUGCUGCACAUCAGCCCUUCCUCUUUUUUGAUGUACUUAAGGUAGACGACCACAGGUAAUUGUUGUACUAAAGAGGAAUUAACACCAUAGCUAUCGUUAUUGUUAUUAUUUAUAACAAUAACAGUAUUAUUGUUGACUUCUAGAACAAAGUCGUUGGCAUAACCAAUAAAUGAUGAUUACCAAGAAGACAGAAAAAGAAACUCACAAGAAAAAUAAUAUCGUUUCGUUUGUUGUAGUGCUUAUGAUGAUCGGUUGAGUUGUUAGGAUUAGUAUAUGAUGUGGAUUUUAAUCUUCGAUAAUUGUAAUUCUCCAUACGAUCUUAACCUGCAAAUCAAUCCACCAAGAAAUCAGUAAAAAUUUAAACGGUAAUUAAUUAUUUCAAGAAAUAAAGAAAAUUGAUACAAGAAAAUUCUGGUCUUAUAGAGCCGGGCUUGGGCUCGGCUCGUUAAGGUAUCAUCUGGGCUCGGGCUCGAGCUCGGCGAGCACGAGCUCAGGCUCGGCUCGUCAGAGACUUUCCAGGCUCGGACUCGAGCCCGGGAGCCUGGGCUCGAAAUUAAAAAAAUGAAUUAGUUGGAGACAUAGGGGAUUAAACCCGUGACCUCUUGCAUGCUUAACAAACAUUUUACCAUCUGUGCUACCGUUUCUCUCUCUAAAUAUAAUAUUUUUUAUACUUCUUAGCGAGCCCACCGAGCUUAACAAGCUUGAGCUUCAGGCUCGGGCUCGACUCGUUGGGCUCGCGAGCCCGAGCCUAAACGAGCCGAGCCGGGCUAUAUUUGAUACCCUAUAUAUAAAUUUAACAAUAAAAAUUACAUUUGAUAACAAGCGAUAUUGACAAAUAGUGUUAUGAUAGAAAUUCCAAUUGACUAUAGUCAACUCGUCUCGUGAUUGUUACCUGGCGUUGUUCAAAACGAAGGUAAAUUGUGUGACAGAUAUGAGACCAUAGGUUGGAGAAAGCUGGAUUCUGAAAGGGUCGGUGCACACAUUUGAGCCUCGGCUCAUCAGAUAUUUUCCCUAUACAUAUAUUCAACUAAAGAUGAUCAUUCACCCUCGUCACAAUUGUAAACUCCCCCCUAAACUUAACAUUAUUUAGUAUUAGGAAUGCUAACUUACUUUAAGAAUAUUUUGUCAGUUAUUAUCGUUAUUGAGUCAAGUUUUAGAUAACAUCAUUUACAAGUCAGUUAUUCUUGUUAUUGAAGUCAAAUUAUAUCAACAUGACUUGAAUUGAAUAAAAGUCAGUUAUUAUUGUAUAACUUCAGUUAAAAUUUCCAACUACCAAGUAGGUUAUUAUUGUUAAAUCAAGGUAACAAUUUAGAGAUAAAGAUUAAUUAGUCGUGUGUCUUGUAAAGUACGUGCCUAUCUAGCUUUUGAGUCAAAAAUUCUCACCAAACCUACUAGUUGGGUGUCUUAUAAAUUCAAUUUAGCGACGAUUUUUGACAUCUAACGACGAUUUUUGAUCGUCACUGAAACUCAAGAAUCUGUAGUGUUAGUCAUUAAAUAUAUUUUUCUUCUCAUUUACUCUUCACAAAUUAACGACAACUUUACCAAUUAACUCUCACCUUUAUCCACAAGAGAGGAUCGAUUCUGUGGAUGCAUGAGUUCGUGACCAAAUUCGAGGAACCCAACCGUCCGGUUUUAUUGGACGGAGAUGAGUGGCAAGUUGGGGUCCUAUAUGGUUCCAUUACGUUUAGAGAAAAGUUUGACUUCUAUUCAUUUCCGAUGUCAACAUUUCCAUCUAUACGAAUUAUCCGUUGAAUUAAAACAUUGUUCAUAUUUAUUAUGUUGAUUACAUAGUAUUAAUAAUUGAUACAAAUAUAACUAAUUAGUUAACUUCCUUUAACAGACUUAACUAACUUCUUGUUGACCUUCACAUGUUCUUUUUUUACUCCAUGUGGUCAAGUCCAAUACGCUCCCCUCAAGCUAAAGGGGAGGGAUCCAGAUCGCCGACAAGCUUAGACUGAAGCUUAACAAACGGAUCGGACGAGAGAGCCAUUGUGAGAAUAUUCGCCCAUUGACAGGUGUCUGGAAUGUGUUGACGAUAAUAUUACCAUUUUGCGAUUUUUCUCUCACAAAAUGAAGAUCUAAAGCGAAUUGUUAUGAGCAAUCGUAUUUUUCUCUAUGAAAGUCAUACCGAAUUUGUCGGAGGGAAUCACCAUCGGGCAUGGUACAUCGAUUCCUAUUGAAGCUACUUAUAUUUAAGUAGAUUACUAUUUAUUCAUUAAUUUAGAUAGUUCUCAAGGCCCAUAAUCUCAAGGCCCAUAGCUUAGUUUACAAUUAAUCAGGAGUAUAAAUAACUCCUUGUAAUAAUUCUUAUUUACACUUUUCUAUUAUUUCCUAAAAUCCAAAAACCCUAAUCAGGCUCUCCGAACUUGCGCCGAUUCUUCACGACCUCCGGUCAUCUUCGCCGCCAUUUCAUCCUCUAACUCUUCUCAUGAUAUCAGAGCCACUGGUGGUGAAGUCCUGAUCAAGUUGCUGAAGUCUCGCCGCUACUGAUCUCUAAACCUCCAAAGAAGAAGGGACUCUGUCUCAACACUCCUCGCCGCUCUCGAUCUCUAGACUUCCUGACCUCUGUCUCAAGACAGAUCUGGUAUAUCUAGAACCUUCGUUUUAUUUUUUUAAAAGAAAGAAAAAAACCCUAAAAUCUAUUGCAUGCGAUUUCAUCUCUGCUAAAAUACCUAAUCUACAUAUUACCAUGUAUCUUCGACUGCAUGCAUCUUCAUCUAGAUGAAUCAUGCCCAUAAGUCAUGUGCAUGCUACCAUACUGAAGGAUACAUACCCCUAUUACUUUAGGGAUGAUCCUCACCUACUAAAACAUACUCAUAUGUGAUCAUAUACCUCUGGAAAGGUGACUGAUCUCUAUUCCGUAUAAUCACCAAUAUUUUAUAAAUAUCUUCUAAGUGUAUUACAAGUAAAAUCCCCCCCCCUUUACACUUCACCCCUAAGGGGUAUUUAUACAAUAUCCUAUCGGAUGCUGGACGCCUGGUUUUCGGACUAAGAUCCGGUUCAACAGAUCCGACGUACUUGGGACGCAAUCCUUGGAGGAUUAACUGUUCUGGCCGACAGGUCUGCCCCGGUCCGCCCGGUCGAGUGAAUGCCCGUGAGGCAACUUGGGCCUUCCUCUUUCGUUCACCUUAUUGGGCCUUGCUUCUGGGCUGAUGGAUUGGGGGUACCAUCAGUACUCCCCCCCUCCUAUAAAUAGGUUGUUUUUCCUUUAUUCCAUUCAUUUUCCCCUCAUUUAUCAUGACUUCUCUUGAUGAUCUGCUGGAGGAACUGGGAUAUGAGUUGGCACGUCAGCGAGGUGUUUGGCCAGAUGAUCUCCUUCAACACCUCUGUGAUAUUGAAGAUUUUGCUGUGGGUAAUCCUCAUCUUUCUCAACUGGUUUCGGAAGUCUCGCAUCGUAUUCGCGCUCUUUGGCAAGUCUCCAAUGGAACUGGUGUUGUUGUUCCAGCGAUGGCAACUGCUCCCAGCAACCGUCGACCUGCCCCUGCUGCUCCGUUCGGGCCUCCUGUCCCUGCUGCUGUCUUUAACGCGGCUUCUGCUCCCCCCAUGGGGUCUCUGCACCUGCUUCUACUGAGUUUUCUACAACUGAACGUUCCAUCGCAUCUGCCGCUCGUCGUCGUCGGGGACGUGGACCGCGCGCCGGACGCUCGGGCCCUCCUCCAGGCGACCUACGUUACUUCCUAUCUCGCGGCCCGCCUUGACGGGCUUCUUUAAUUAUUUUUUUGGGGGGCCCUGUGUCCCUCUUUCUAUUAUGUAUUUGAAUAUUUCUUUUGUUCCCUGCAGUUGUUCCUAUGACUCCUACAAACUCAUUUGUGUCUUUCUUAUGUACUGAUGUAAUUUUUACUCUCAACAAUUUCCUUUUCCUACAAGUGGUUUUUUUUGUGUUUAUCGAAUGUAACUACUUAUUGAUUAGGGAUCUGGCAACUCCUUCCAAUUUUCAACUGUGUUAUUAUUUCCUUCGGGCCCUACGACUACCAGGUUUCCCAAGUCUGAUUCCCCUAUGAGCCAUUUGAGCAGGUAUUCCUGCUAUUUUUCUUUAGGGUCUUGUGUCGCCUACUCUGAUAGGACGUUUUUUUUGUAUAUAUAUAUACGGCUGCUUUCCUUCAGGUAUCUUCCCUACGGCCAUUUUGCCCCACUUCCCUCAAACAUUCGAGCUGACCCCUGGUCAAAAAUACACCUGCUGUACCGUGCGGCCCAUCCGGCCCUUGGAAUAUUUUUGAUUUUCCACCGAAAAUUCUUCUAUAGUUGCUUCCCUCCAGGUUCCUUCCCUACGGCCAUUUUGACCCACCUCCUUCGAUCGUCCGAGCUGACUACACUUGGACAAAAAUGCACUUAUCCUUCCGUACGGUCCAUCCGUCCUUCGGGUAUGACAUUUUAUUUUUUGGAAAUAUUUUUGAUUUCCCGCCAAAAAUAUUUCUAUAUAUAGUCUCUUUCCACUUCACUCAUCUUCACUUUCUUUUUCUAUCAGUAGGGUUUCUCUUCCGCUGAUCGCCGCAUCCUCUCCCAUGGCCGAUCUCACUUCCUUCCUAGACGAUAUUUCCGAUUUCAACGGUAACUCUCUAAACUCCUCUGAAGAUCCUCCUUCUAUUCUUAGUAGGCGGCAAGCCCGUCGUCAUUUCCAGGUGAUCGCUCACUCUGCAGCGAUAGCUCAUCUUGAGAUCCCCCAAGAUGCUCCUGCCUCUUCGCCUCCCGAUGGCUAUACUACCCUUUACUCGGGUUUUGAGGAUUUAGGGCUUCGGCUUCCCGCCUCUCCCUUUCUCUUGUCUUUUCUUUCAUAUACUGGUGUUGCCAUUUCCCAGCUUUCCCCCUCUAGUCUCGACCGUGUUGUUUCGUUCGAGCGCUUAUGCCAUGAACUCCACUUGAAGCCCUUCGAACGCGUUUUCCGUUUGUUUUUCUCUAUCUCCCGGCCCAAUUCCGCACGGCUGUUGAUUUCCUCUAGAAUAAGACAUAAACUCCUCGAUUCUUAUCCCAGUCGUUCGCAUCGGUGGAAAAGCCGCUAUUUCUUUGUAAAGAGCCACUCCAUAGGAUUGUCAGGGGUUCCUUCCAAGUGGGUAAACACCUCCUCCUUCAAUGCUGGAAGCCUUUCCAUAGGGGAGCUUUCUCCGGAGGAACAUGAUGUGUACUCCCGCCUCCUAUCUGUUCGUUCGAGUCCCAUCGACUAUUCUAGUUUGAUGACCGGGACUUGGAAAUCUACUCACCCGCAUCUCGUCUCCUCUGGUAAUUUACAUUCGACUUUGUUAAUUUUUCCUUUCUUUUUCAGGUGAACCUGAUGAAGGAGGUUUGUCGGGCUUGUUUGCAGGAUCCGGAUCGCAGCGGGGCGGCAAGAGGGCCUGCAUGGAAACAGUUUCUAACGCUGGUGAUUCCUCUAAUGCCCUUUCUGACGAUGUCACCAAGUAUAUCCACUUCUCUGAUGAUGCGAUUGCUAGUAGUCACAACCUUGGAGAUCGCCUGAUUGUGACCGAACAUAUGCAAGCCCCCCGGAUUGCUGGGAUGUACGAACAGGCGCUCGGCCGAAUGGAUUCCUCAGUCGAAAAGGAGGCCGACUGGAUGACCCUGGAGAAGACUGCCCUUGAUGAUAUUGAUGAAGCGUGCUACAUCCGGGCUCUUCAAACUGUGGCUAUGGAGCGUCAUCGACAGAAGAGGGGGAUACAACGGAUGCGUGAGCUCAAUGAUGCCUUGGACGAGGUUACUCGCUUGACCAAGGCAUUUACUUUGAAGGAUGCUGAGAUCGAGUCCCUUAGGGUGGAGAACGAGUCCCUCAGGGCAGAGAGGGACGAAAAGGCCGUCCGGGUUGCGUCUAUGGAAGAGGACAUCUCGUGUGCCAAGGUGAAGUUCACUGAGCAUGCCAAGAAUAUGACUGAACGGAACAAGUGUGCCUGCUUCAAGAAUUUUGUUGAAAGCAUGAUUCAUGGGCGGGACAUGGUGAAUCUUCGGAGCCCUGAGUACGAGUCCACCGUUGUUCCUAUUAACCCACCGAUGUGGGAGCAGUGGAAGGCGACUGGAAUCCCUACGGAACAUCCUGCCUGGCCCAAGACUCUCUCCGAGUUGUCGGGUGAAGAAAACUAGUAGCUCAAAAAAAAUUUUUUUUUUAAAAAGAACAAUUAAAACAUACCUUUUGUUUCUGUACUUUGAAUUUUUAUUUCGUACUUUUGCUUUUUAAUUUCCUUUCGCCUUUCUUCGUCCUUGUUUCCUUGCUAAUACAUGUCUUCUUGUUGUAAUUAUAAUUGCCCAAAGGCACCUUUGGCCCUAUCCGCGCUUUUUUAUCAUCUUUCGUUGAUAUUCCUUACGGCUUUAUUGCCCUAAGGCUCUGGCGGGAGGCCUUGUUCUAGUAAAAUAACUUUUUUUAUAUAUAAAACUUUGUUCACAUAUAUAAUUAUUUUUAUUGAAAAUAUUUUGAUAAAUUGUCCGAGUGCCAAGUUCUUUCUAUUUUCUGACCAUCCUCAAAUGCUAACUUGUAAAUUCCCGGACGGACUUCCUCGACGAUUACGUACGGCCCUUCCCACUUUGGAGAUAACUUUCCCUUAGUUUGGUCCAGCCCAGUGAUUCUUCCAUUCCUUAAUACCAUGUCUCCUAAGUUUAUUUUCUUUUCAUUUACUUUUUGAUUAUGGUAUCUUGCCGCCCUCUUUUUGUAAUUCAAAUCUCUUAUUGCUGCGAUUUCUCUCAACUCUUCACACCUUCUCUGGCUAGUAGAAUGGCCAAAUUAUUAUCUUUCGGAUCAAAAUUUGCUACCCUUACUGUUGGCCACACCACUUGUGCUGGGGCCACUGCAUCUAUUCCGAAUGCUAAAGUAAAUGGUGGAUGUCCCGUCGGCGUACGUACGGUUGUUCUGUACGCCCACAUUGUUUCUAAUAUUAAAUCCGCCCAUGUUCCUGGGUUGUCUCCUACUUUUCUUUUAAGUAUAGAUGUUAUUGUCCGGUUUGUAACUUCGACUUGCCCGUUUGCCUGUGGAUGAUAUACCGGAGAAAAACUCAUUUUUAUUCCACUAUCUUCACAAAAUUUCUUCACUUUCUUCCCUGUAAACUGCGUUUCAUUAUCUGUUAUUAUUUGUAACGGAACCCCGAAUCUGCAGAUGAUAUUCCUGAAGAUGAACUGAAUAACAUUAUGUUCUGAUAUUGUGCUUGUUGGCUCAGCCUCGGCCCACUUGGUGAAGUAGUCGACCGCAAUAAAUAAAAAUUUCUGACCCCUUGAUGCUACUGGAAAAGGCCCUACGAUGUCUAAACCCCAUCGAGCAAAUGGUACUGGUGUGGUAACUGGAUUCAUUAUGCUGGACGGCCUUCUCUGGAUAUUCACGUGUCUUUGGCACUCAUUGCAACUUCUUACCAGUUCCUCAGAGUCUCUACUUAUUUGUGGCCAAUAGUAGCCCUGCCUUGUUACCUGCUUUCCCAACAUUUUUGCUCCCUGGUGUGGGCCGCACGCUCCCUUAUGUGCGCUUGUUAGUAUUUCUUUUCCUUCUUCGCGUGUUACGCAAAUCCGUAAGGGAAUGCUAUCCUCUACUGCUCUACGGAAAAGAGUGUCCCCUACUACGGUAAACCAGACUGCCUUGUUCUUCAGUUUCCUUUCUUCCAUCGCAUCCGUCGGGAUUAUUCCCUUCGUAAUGUAAUUCUUUAUCGGUGUUCUCCAAUCUUUUUCUACUGCUAGUGUUAGAAUUUUACUUCCCACAAUCUUUGCUUUUGAAGGUGCCUCUUGCUGUUCCACUCGGAUCCAUCGUCCCCUCGGCACGUUUGGAGAUGCGCCCAACCUUGCUAAAAUGUCCGCUUCCUUAUUAUUCGUACGGCUUAUGUGAUAUAGUUCCCACUCUGUGAAAAAUUGCAUCAUGUUGCGUGCUGCUUCUGUGUACCAACACAUCCCUUCUUCCUUUGAUACAAAUUCCCCGUAGACUUGGUUUGCUACUAAUCGCGAAUCCAUAAGGAAUUUUGCUCGUCUAGCACCUAAUGCUUUUCCUAACCGUGCCCCUGCCAAUAGUGCCUCGUACUCUACUUCAUUGUUUGUUGUUUUAAAAUCGAAAUUUAUUGCAUGCUCCACUUUUUGUUUUGUUGGGGUUUGGAUUGUUAUGCCUGCUCCACAUCCAGAAUUGCUCGCUGACCCAUCAAUAUGGAUGAUCCACCAACCUUCAGAUUCUUCUACAUUUGGUGUAAAUUCUGCCAAGAAAUCAGCAACCGCUUGUCCUUUGAUCGCUUUCGCUAGUACUAUACUUAUAUAAAAUUCACUUAAUUCUACAGCCCAUUUUGUUAAUCUGCCCGACACAUCUGGUUUAUGUAACAACUGCAAUAGUGGAAAUUCUGUCGGGAUGGUUAUUGAGUGUGCCUAAAAGUAAGGUUUUAGCCUUCUUGCCGUUGUUACUACUGCUAACCCCAACUUCUCAAUUUGUGGAUACCUCUUCUCUGCCCCUUGUAAAGUGCGGGAGUAAUAAUAAAUUGCCCGUUGUGUGCCAUCUCUUUCAGUCAUUAAAACUGCACUAGUAGCAUUAUCGGACGUGGCUAUGUACAAUUUUAAUGGUUCCCCUGGGAAUGGUCGCUGCAGAGUUGGCAGAUUCCUUAAUUGUUCCUUAAGUCUUUGAAACGCCUCCUCGCACUCCUCCGUCUAUGUCACUUUUGGACUUGAUGAUUUUAUUAAUUUGAAUAAAGGUUGUAACGUGUCUGCCCCCCUUGCUAAGAAUCUGCUCAAUGCGUUUACCUUUCCAUUAAGUUUCUGGACCUCUUUUAUUGUAUUCGGCGGGGUCAUUGCCAUUAUUGCCUUUACUUUUUCCGUACGGGCCUUUAUCCCGCUAGGAGUUAUUUUGAAACCUAAAAAAUGCCCUUCGGUGACCCCGAAGGAGCAUUUUUUUGCCUUUAAUCGUAGACCUGCUUUUCUGAUAUUAUCAAAAGUUUCCUUUAGGUCUGCCAAGUGCUCUGCAACUGUUUUGGAACAAACUAGAAUAUCAUCCACAUACACUUCAAGGUUCCUUCCGAUUUGAUCCUUAAAUAUUUGGUCCAUAGCCCUCUAGAAUGUUGCUCCUGCGUUACGUAAUCCGAAAGGCAUUACUUUGAAACAAAAGGUACUUGUUUCUGAUAUAAAAGAUGUCUUUCCCUCAUCCUCCCUAGCCAUAGGUAUCUGAUUAUAACCUGAGUGCGCAUCCAUGAAACUGAGCAAUUCACACCCUGACGCUUGGUCUACUAAAUGGUCUACCGAUGGAAGUGGAUACGAAUCCUUAGGGCAAGCUUUAUUUAUAUUUGUGAAAUCUACACACAUUCUCCAUCCUCCAUCUGCUUGUCGGAAACUCCGGUAAGCGCAUGUUUGGAUUUUGAGCGAGCAUUGCGGAGUUGUAUUGUUGGAAGAACGCCAUUUGACGAGUCAUGAAGUCUUCAUUCUUACGAGCCAACUCUUCAUUCUUACGAGCCAAGUCUUCAUUCUGACGAACCAUCGCCUCAUUUUGCUCAUUCUGACGAGCCAUCGCUCUCUCGACAGCCUCGUUGACCUUAUCUUGAACCUCUGCUUCGGUCAUUGGAUCUUUUCCUUUGUCCGUGCAGAAGUUCCCCACAUUCAUGCGAUGCGUCGUCUUUUUGCUCAAAGAGGAACCAGUUGUUCCUAAUGUUCUCGAUUUCUUCGAGCUUCUACCGAUAAAUUCGGUUAUAGCAAAUUGGAUUAGAGCNNNNNNNNNNNNNNNNNNNNNNNNNNNNNNNNNNNNNNNNNNNNNNNNNNNNNNNNNNNNNNNNNNNNNNNNNNNNNNNNNNNNNNNNNNNNNNNNNNNNUACGUCAAGUACUCAAGGCAGUGCCUGGGAGUCGCCGAUUGGGACUACCAAGUCGCCGACUCCAGGGGUGAAUCGCUGACUCUAGGCCUCGUGGACAGUUCUGGUAGGCUGCCACUAGGCUCAUGGGGAGUCGGCGAUUGAACCUCUGGAUCGGCGAUUGAACCUCCCAGCCGUUACUUGAGUGGGCCCACGUCAUUAAGGCACUCCUAAAUAGGAUACCUUAAUGGGGUGGGUCCCACGCUAAUGAAUGGGGAAGCGUCCCCUAGGACCCUAUAAAAGAGGUCCUUGGGGGACCUCUACCAUCAAGUCAUUCCCACUUGACACACACCAACCAGAGCAAUACUUGGAGCCCGAAUCGCCUACUCCCAAGAGAGUCGCCGAUUCCCCUCCCCUUCUGCAGGUACAUUGACGUAGAGCGUGUGUCGUGGACUCCAAAGCCUCCGGCCCUUCUCGCGACCCCGCGAGCCUACUGGUAGCAGAUUUCGUGCUUCAUCACCUGUGAUUGGUGUGCCGCAUAGACCUAAGUCUGCCCUGCAAAAACCCAGUUGAUCAAAUGCACUCCAGUAUAGCACAUCUACUGAAGCCCCUGUAUCCACUAGCACUCUGUUUAAUCUAAUUCUUUGCUUAUCCUCCCUUUGUACAAUAGGUGUUAUGACCAACGGGUCAUGAUGUGGAACCAUGAUUCCUGUCAGAUCUUCAUUUGAAAAACGAAUAUCCUCCCAAGUUUUGAUUUUUUUAAUUAUUCCAUCCGUCCGACUAAGAUCCUGUGCAUAUCUUUUUCCUUCGAAUCCUGUUCCUCCUCUGGCUGCCUCUCCUCCUGAUAUUGUUAAUAUUUCUCUGAUAUUCCUUCCUGAUCGUCGCUACGGUCCUGAUGUCCUGACGUUCUGACAUCCCUAUAGUCCUGAUGUCCUGUAGGUGCCAGUGCUGCCCGUCGUGGUGGGGGAGAAGGUAUCCUUUGCCAUACGGGUAGCGAACCUUGCCGUCCCUGUAUUCUUUCUAGUUCCCUUGCCAAAAUCCAACACUCGGCCGUAGUAUGUCCUAUGUCGUCAUGAUAUUCACAAUACAAGUGUGGAUUUCGAUUAAUUGCUGUCUCCGUACGCAUUGGGCGCGGCUCUGGAAGCAUCCUCUCCUCUCUUAGUGCUAAAAAUAUCUGCCGUUGGUUUGGAAAUGGAGUAACUCUUGGCGGACCAUAAUUAAUGAAACUUUCCCUUGGGAAAGUGGUCCCUCUUGCUGGAAGAUCCCAUACUAAAUCCCCUGAAAAUCUAGUUGGUCUUAAUUCAUUAACUAGUGCCAUCAGGACUCCUUCUUCUGAACAAACGACUUUUUGAACUGCUAUCGCGAACCGAUCCAUAUAUUCUCGUGUUGACUCUCGAUCUCCCUGUACAACUGUUAACAAAGUUGUAUUUAAACCCUUGCGCCUUAUUUUAUGCCCGAAGGCAACUUUGAACGAUUUUUCCAAGUCUUUGAAUGAAUUAAUGCUUCCCACAGGAAGGUUUCUGUACCAUCCCACUGCUUCUCCUUUCAAUGUUCUCCUAAACAUGCGACACCAAAUGUCUCUUCGCCCUGUAGUGUCCUCCAUUUCCAUACGGAAUGAGUGAACAUGAUCUUCCGGAUCCGUCGUACCAUCAUAUGACGUCAUUUUUGGAGCUCUCCACCCCAUCGGGUACCCUUCUACUAAAAGAUGUCGUGCUAAAGCCUCUUCGCUAUCCAUUGGCGUCUGUUGGUCUAGAUAACCAACUGACGGCCGUACGGGCAUGUUUUCGUGUGUAUUCCUAUUUGCCAUUGACAUAAUUUGCUCUUGAAGUUGCCUUUGAUUAUUUUGCAAACCCGCGAUGACUGCUAGGAUUUAACUCUCCCUUGAUUCCCGUGACAUGGGAAAUGUUCUCCCGUAUCCCCUCUGGUCAUCCUUGUGUUGCUCCGGUGAUCUGGACCGGCUUUGCUCCGACCAACUUGUAGAAAUACCAUCUUCUGGCAUUGACUCUACAAAUAGCCGAGGGUCCUCACACGUAUGCUGCUGAGGGUGAUAGGGCGCUUCUUCGAUAUUCUCUUCCAAGUGCACCGGUUCGCCCGCACCUUGAUUUUCUAAAGGAACCGUUGGCAGCCGAUUCCUGUACGCUUCUGCCACCGAGUUUUCUAAGUUUUCCUCCAUCCGAAUUACCCGCUCCGGCUGCUCUGAAUCCAUUUCGCGUAUUCGAUUCACGUCAGGUUCACCACUGAUCAUAUCCCUCUAGAAAGGUGACUGAUCUCUAUUCCGUAUAAUCACCAAUAUUUUACAAAUAUCUUCUAAGUGUAUUACAAGUAAAAUCCCCCCCUUUACACUUCACCCCUAGGGGUAUUUAUACAAUUUCCUAUCGGAUGCUGGACGCCUGGUUUUUGGACUAGAAUCCGGUUCAACAGAUCCGACGUACUUGGGACGCAACCCUUGGAGGAUUAACUGUUCCGGCCGACAGGUCUGCUCCGGUCCGCCCGGUCGGGUGAAUGCCCGUGAGGCAACUUGGGCCUUCCUCUUUCAUUCACCUUAUUGGGCCUUGCUUCUGGGCUCCUUUGUGGGCCUGGGCUGAUGGAUUAGGGGUACCAUCAAUAUGCAUGCUCACCUGAGUGAACAGACGUCUGUCUCACCAAAUAAAUACUCAAAGUUCUUAUUUGUCCACUACUGCUCUUAUUGUUUUAAUCUACAUGAUCUGAGUUGCAACAGAUCCUACAUUUCUAUUGCAUAUAAAUACACUAUACAUAAACUGAUCUGUUGUUAUACAUCUACUAUCAUGUAUCCAUUUACAUAUAAAUCAUGCUCUGCAUGCUGUGAAUGCAAGUAUUGUCAACUACUUUGCUAUAUCAUUAAAUUACUGAUACAUAUUCAUGCUAUCAACUUAUACUCUGAUGAAUUCACGCUUCUGCAUAUUCUUUCAUGUCAUAUGACACCUACACAUAAAUUACAAACAUAUUUAAUUUAUUCUUUAUAUAUGAAUAAUUCAAAAUCUUUAUUCAAUUUUCAUGAAAUCUAUGUGGUCAUUCCACACAAUUAUUUAAUUCACCUCUACUACUGUAACUUGUGUGGUCACAGCUCAAACAGCAUGACAGACAAGACUCCAAGAGGUGGACCACUCUUUGAUCCGGUCUCCCCAUAUUUCAUAAAACCCACUUAUUAUGGUCCCCCAAACAUAAUCAACAUACUCCAAGGCAGCCCAAACUACUAUCCCUGGAGCAGGGUGAUGACAACUAUGUUAAUAACAAGAAGAAAGUUAGGCUUUAUCUUGGGUACCAUUAAGGAACCAAAUGUAAAGGAUACUGAUGAGCACGAAGCUUAGGAUACCUGUCAUGGUGUCAUUAGGUAGUGGAUCUGGAGUUCAGUCUCCCCAGAGAUUGCAUCCCAGAUCAUGUACACUGAGAUAUGGAAUGACCUCAGGGACCAAUUUAGACAAUCAAAUGAAACCCACAUCUACCAAUUGGCCCAUGAUGUGGCAAUGUUGCAACAAGGAUCUGACUCUGUAUCUAAGUUUUGCCCUAAUCUUAAAUCUCUGUGGAGAGAAGUUGAUGCUUAUGGAGAGAUACCCCAUUGUGACUGUGGUAAAUGUAUUUGCAAUAUGAAUGGGAGAGCUAAUGAUAGAGAAGAUAGGCUCAAGAUUAGGAAAUUCCUAAUGGGUCUAAAUGAUGAAUAUAGGAAGGUUAGAUCACAUAUCCUAUCUAUGGAAACACUGCCUAACUUUGGAAAGGUCUAUUCUAUGGUGAUUCAUGAAAACCCAACUACAAUUGACCACCAACAUAAACACUCAACAAGGCUCAGCCUUUUACUCUGCUAAAGGAAAAGCACCAGCCACUUCCAACAGCCAUCAGAACCCAAAAUACUCAUCUGUCCCACCUUCCUCCUCUAACACAAAGAAAAGGCCACCACCUCCAACUGAACCACUCUACUAUAAAAGUGGCAAACUGGUAAACCUCAGAUACUACUGCUUUCACUGUGCUGCCUUUGGCCACAGUGAUGAGAAAUGCUUCUCUCAGCAUGGUUACCCCAACAACGACACAUCAACAAGCAAGCCCAACACUUCUACCCAACCUGAAUCAACAAAGAUCCAAGGUUCUGUGAACUAUAUGGGUACUGAAAAACAAGAGUGGUCUCCCUGGAACAGUGCUACCAAACCAUCAAAGGAUGCUGACAAUCCAGUUGGACCUCAUUGCUUCCCCCUAUACUCUGAAAAAUACAAUCUAAAGCCAUUGCCAAAAUACAAUCUUGAUUCAGGUGCUGCAAAUUCUAUUUUUGAUAAAUCCAAUUUUCAUAACUAUUGGAUUAUUGACUCAGACGCCUCAGAGCACCUUAGUGGCAAUAAAUCCCUAUUCAAAAGUCUAAAAAAAUGUGAACCAUUCACAAUCUCACUCCCUAAUGGGGACAAGCAAUUAGUUUCAAAAAGGGGUGAUGUCUCAGUAUCACCUAACAUCACACUCAGUGAUGUAUAUUAUGCAAAAUCCUUUCAAGUCAACCUGCUAUCAGUUAGCAAGUUGACAGAAGAGGACUCAUACUAUGUUUAAUUUUCUAAAAACUCUACCUCUAUCUAUGACAAGGUUCAGAGGAGGGUAGCUGGACAGAGUGAAGUUAUGAAGGAUUAUAUCUGUUGCCACAAGUCAGUGGUAAUUUUUGCUUUGCAGGUGCCAUUUCAGUCACUAUUUGGCACAAUAGACUGGGCCACACAUCCUGUGGCAGACAAAACUUUAUUAUGAACAAUUUUACUUUAAAUCAUGACAACUCUAAAUUAGUUAAAUACUGUGAUACUUGCCAUUUUGCUAAAUAAUCUAGAAAAUCUUUUCCUUUAUCUGCAUCUAGGGCUAAGAAUGCAUUUGAUCUCCUUCACAUGGAUGUGUGGGGGAACUUUCACACUCCAACCAUCCAUGGGAAAAGAUAUUUCUUGACAGUGGUUGAUGACCACACAAGGUAUACAUGGACAUUCCUUAUUGCUAUGAAAUCUGAAUGCUUUGCUUUAUUUAAAAAUUUCUAUGCUCUUAUUCUAAAUCAAUUUGGGAAGUCUGUUAAGGCCAUUAGGACUGACAAUGAUGGGGAGUUCUUCUCCUCAACCAUGGAUGAUUUUCUAAAGGAGAAGGGGAUCAUACAUUACUCCAGCUGCCCUCAUACACCACAACAGAAUAGUGUGGUGGAGAGGAAGCACCAACACUUACUAAAUGUGGCAAGGGCAUUACAGAUACAAUGCUCUCUACCCAUUGAACUAUGGGGGUUCUCUAUCCUCCACUCAACAAGAAUUGUAAACAUGCUACCAAGGUAACUGAUAACAAGGCACCAUUUGAGCUUAUGCACACAAAGAAACCAGAUUUUGAAAAAUUAAGGUCAUUUGGGUGCCUCUGUUAUGCCACUUGCCUGGUAAAAAAUGAUAAAUUCUCCCCCAGGGCAAACAAAUACAUAUAUAUAGGUGACUCUUCAACACAAAAAGGAGUCAUUCUAUACAACAUAGAAAGCAAACUCAUAGCAAUCAGUAGGGAUGUAACCUACUAUGAGGAGACCUUUCCUCUCAAAGAGGAUUCAACCCCACAAGAGGGUCAAUCACCAAACUCUCAACAUUCAUAUGACCUCUCUGAGGACAUAAACCUACAAAGCUCACCUGAGAGUCAAUACACUGAAAGUAGUGAUGAAGAUGCUAACACUCAAAGCAAUGACGAUUCUGUCACUCAAAUCAAUUCAACCCCUGAUCGAACCCAUGACCCAAUUCCUAGAAGAUACCCAAGAAGACAGACAACAAGAACCACAAAAUUGAGUGAUUACUAUUGCUCAUUUGUCACUAGCAAUGGUAGAUCAACAGGAACCAAAUAUCCCAUGCAUGACUAUUUGACAUACAAAAGACUUUCCACAUCUCAGACUGACUGCCUAGACAAAAUUUCCAUUACCACAUAACCCACAUCAUUCCAACAAGCAAGUCUGAGCCCUGAGUGGGUUAAGGCAAUGAAUGAGGAGCUAGCUGCCUUAGAGCUCAAUGACACAUGGGACAUUAUCCUCAAACCAAAAGACAGGAAAAUUGUGGGCUCUAGGUGGGUUUAUAAGGUAAAGCAUAAAUCUAAUGGUGAUGUGGAAAGACUAAAGGCAAGACUAGUGGCUAAAGGUCACACACAAAUAGAAGGCUUUGACUAUAAAGAGACCUUCUCCCCUGUGGCUAAGAUUGUCUCAGUAAGGACACUCUUGGCAGUAGCAUCAAUUAAAAACUGGGUUACUUACCAAAUGGAUGUAAGUAAUGCAUUUCUACAUGGAGAUCUCUCUGAAGAGAUCUAUAUGUCACCCCCACCUGGGCUACUAUUUCCUUAUGAUCCCAGAGUGUGAGGCUCAAGAAAUCCUUAUAUGGUCUGAAACAAGCAAAUAGGAAUUGGUAUGAAAAACUAAUUGAUGCUUUAACUAAAUUUGGAUACACUCAAUCUCAUGCUGAUUACACACUUUUUUUAAAUCAAAUGAAAAUUCUUAUACUUGUCUUUUGAUUUAUGUGGAUGAUUUGAUUAUAUCAGGAAAUGACCAGGUUGAAAUAGACAAUCUAAAAUCUCAUCUACACCAACAAUUCCACAUAAAAGACUUGGGGAAACUCAAAUAUUUUUUAGGAAUUGAGGUGUCUCAAACAAACAAAGGCAUAUUUAUCUCUCAGAGAAAAUAUGCUCUUGACAUACUACAUCCAAAAUUGGUCAACUUGGCACAUCUUCAUCCAAAAUUCCAAUAUCUCAUUCAUCUAAAGAUAAUGAGGCAGAUCCUACUCUCAAAGAUUCAUCCCUAUACAGGAAAUUGAUUGGCAAAUUAUUGUACUUAACAAUUACUAGACCUGAUAUUGCCUUUGCAGUCAACCAUUUCAGUCAAUUUCUAGCAAAUCCAUCUAAACAACAAUAUGAAGCAACCCUUAAAAUUCUAAAAUACAUCAAAGAAUCACUAGGAAAAGGGAUCCUCUACAGGAAGGAUGCAUCACUACACUUAAAAGCUUACUGUGAUGCUGAUUGGGCUGACUGCCCAAAAACAAGAAAAUCAAUCACUAGAUAUAGUAUCCUACUAGGUGGAUAUGCAAUCUCUUGAAAAUCAAAGAAGCAAUCCACAAUAAGCAGAUCCUCUGCUGAAAAUGAAUAUAGACCAAUGGCAUCCACUGUGUGUGAGAUAAUGUGGCUACAUUAUCUCCUGAGUGAUUUGCAGAUUCACCAAACUGAAGAAACAAAAUUAUACUGCGACAACAUGGCAGCCAUACACAUUGCAUCGAAUCCUGUCUUCCAUGAACGCACCAAGCACAUUGAAAUUGAUUGUCACUUGGUGUGUGAUCAUCUACAGGCUUGCUUGUUUAAAUUGGAACAUGUUUCAUCUACAUCACAGGUUGCUGAUAUUCUAACAAAACCAGCAAGCCUGGAAUCUCUGAGAAAUCUGCUACCCAAGCUGGGACUUUAUGAUCUGUACUCUCCAUCUUGAGGGGGGUAUUGAAGCUACUUAUAUUUAAGUAGAUUACUAUUUAUUCAUUAAUUUAGAUAGUUCUCAAGGCCCAUAAUCUCAAGGCCCAUAGCUUAGUUUACAAUUAAUCAGGAGUAUAAAUAACUCCUUGUAAUAAUUCUUAUUUACACUUUUCUAUUAUUUCCUAAAAUCCAAAAACCCUAGUCGGGCUCUCCCCAAAACCCUGCGACUCUUCGUCUCUCGGAACUUGUGCCGAUUCUUCAUGAUCUCCGGUCAUCUUCGCCGCCAUCUCAUUCUCUAACUCUUCUCAAUUCCGAGUUCCUGUAAAGUCGUGUGUACUACUUCCACCUCUUGGUAGUUGAUCGGGCAGCGAGCUUUCUUUCCUUGACAUCCAGGACACUAGCGAACCUCCCACAUACACCAGAAAAUCUAUCAUGCUCUUCCGAUCUAGAGUAUCACCCCCCCCAAUCGGAAUCACAUUAUGUUGUAAUAUGAAGCGAUCAACAUUUCUACACCCCAAAUCCUAUCAGCAUUUAAAGAAAAACUGAUCAAAGAUCAAGCCAUCGACGACCAACCACCAGAGAUUCCUGUCAAUAACGUCAUACGAAGGAGCAACCGUCGGAAGGAUUCAAAUCAACAAAACGACUACAUAUAUUAUUAGAGGAAUAUAUCUCUAAUUAUCUUUAAUCAUCUAUAUAUCUUUAAUUUCUUUAUUUAUUUCAUAUAUAUGAAAAACAAUCUUUUUAGUUUUUUCUCGCAUUUUCUUAAACAUGUACUAUUAUAAAUAGACAGGGUUGUAAACCAAAGAGAUUCAUUGAAUGAAAAGUUUAGUAUUCCAAAGCGAAUCUUGAAUUUUCCUCUUUUUGAUCAAAUCGAGCAAAUCCGAUUUUUGAUCUUCCCAUCUUUUCUCCAUACUUCACCACUAUCCACACCAUUUCCUAAUUCCAUUUCAUUACAGUCCUUAUUCUAUCUAACACACUCACACCCAUGAAUCCAGGAAUUUUUUCUCCGGGGGGCUAAUUUUAAAUCAUUUAACCAAAUUCAAAAAAAAAUUCCAAUCCAAUUGUUCUUGACGAGUGCCAUAUUUUGUCACCGAUAUAUAAUAUCAUCGUUACUAACACUAGAAAAUAAUUUUUUUUAACAUAUGUUACUAAAAUAUCAUUCAAAUAAGGAUCAUCCAUACGAUUGCGACAACUUGAUUUCACAAGAUUCAUUGUUGAAAAAAAAUUUUCCACUGAAGUAGUCGCUACGGGUAAUGUGAAUGUUAAUUUUAAAAAACGAAACACCAAAAAAAAUACGAUAUCUUUUCUCUUCUCAAUCAAUUUUACGGUCAACUUUCCAAUUCCAUUUAAAUUCGAAAUUUUACUUACAAAUAAAAACAGUUUAAAUUAUUUCCUGGAAUAAAAAACAACAUAAACAAAAACGACGUCUUUUGAAAUGCCAUAUUCAAUUCCUGAUUCAUAUUUGUCAAACCACAAUGCACAAAGUCUUCUAGAUUAAUUUUUAAUCAUAUUCAAUGAAAAUUCAUGUUGGCGUGGUUGGCAAGGUUUCUUUUGUAAAUAAUAUCUUUUUAUUCGAUCUCGGUCAUUUGGAUGGUAGUCAUUUAUCUUCUUUCGCAAUCUCAGAUCAGAUGGUAAUUUACUUACAUCGAAUGAAUCUCUAGAUGGUUGUGGAUUGGAUGAUGGAUUUGAAAUUGAUUGAUUUAUUCUAGGUCUUUUGAUCACAAAUUUAUCCAUUGAUUAUCUAUGUAAAAAAAGAUUUAAAUUAAUAACAAAUUUAACAAUAAAGAAUGUGGAAAAAAAAUAUUUUUAUUCUUUUUCUUUGUAUAAAACUAUGGUUAUAAACUCGCGUGAAUGUGGAUAAAAAACGAAAUUUUUAAAUUCUUAGAUAUAGAUGGAUAGUUAUGGAAAAUUAGGAUAAAUAUAGUAAUAAAUUAAUUAUUAAUAGAAUAAUGAAAUUAGAAUAAUAUAUUAUAUUAUAUUAUAAAAAUAAAAAAUAUUAUUAUAUUAAUAUAUUUUAAACAGUGGAAGCAAUAUCAAUUUUUUUUAUUAUUUAGGCGGGGGCUCAAGUCCCCCCCGAAGCCCCUCCUACAUUCGCCACUGCUCACACCCGCCGUCCACAUUUGCAGAUCGCAAAUUCGCGGGUUUAAUUUGAAAUAACUUCUCCUUUUUUGGUAGGAACAGGCUACGUUGACUGUUUGUAAAUGCCAAAAUCCUUCACAUUUCUUAUGAUAAUAUUGAACUUCUGUUUGCUCGCCAGAAAACACAAGACCCUCUUCAUCGCCAACCUACAAAUCGGGUGAGGUAUAGUAUCAUCAUGAAUUGAAAAGCCGGUUGUCCGCUACCUAGAUAUUAGGAUGCGUUAAUGUGAUGUAUUGUAGCGUUCCUAUAAUCCGAUGAAAUUGCCUUGCCUCUUCAAUUGAUGGUUCAUCAGAUGUUAGAUCAAUAUUAGCCAACAUCGGAUUCGGGACAGAUUUGAUCGAUAUUAUCCAUUUGACAACUUUGCAAUAAGUUUACCAAAUAUUGAGUGAAUUCCUCCCUUUGUUUGUGUUACUUGAAUACCCAAAAAGAAUUUGAGUUCCCCAAAUUUCUCAUAGGAAAUUCUCAAUCAACUCCUCAAUCUUCUAUUCAUCUGGAACCCUGCCAGAACUAUAUCGUCCACAUAUAUAAAGAGAUACGUGGUGAACGAGCAUUGUUGAACUAGGAAGAUAUUUGUAGUGAGAAGAUAUUUGUCUCUUGAAAUUCUGGGUCAUGGAAUCUGAAUGGCUGAGUGAUAACUAUUCUUUCUUCCAAGUUCCUAUGGAGGAAGGCGUUAGAUAUGCCAACCUGUUGAAGUUUUCAAUUUCGUGUAAUUGACAAUGCUAGGAUAAGUCGAAUGGACAGUGGACGAACAACUGAACUGAAUAUAUCCACGUAAUAUGAAUCAUGUACUUGUCGCAUCCUGCUAUUGGCUAUUAACCAAGCUUUUUAAUGCUCGGUCGAUCCGUCAGACUUCGUCUUCACUUUAAAUACCCAUUUAGAAUUGAUUACGUUAUCCUUCGGAUUUUGUGGAACCAACGUACAAGUUUUAUUGUUUUGAAAAGCUCUGAAUUCGUUGCUCAUUGCUUCUUUCGAUUGUUGAAUAGUCUAAGCAUGCUUCGCGGACUUCGGAAUUGAAACUUCAGUUACUGCCAUUGCGAGUGCGAACUGAGGAUUUGAUUCGAAAAUACCCACCGAAUCUCUAGUAACUGUAUGUGUAGGAGAAUCACGGUUGAAAAUAUCAUUUUCCAUGGGGCCAAACACAGCAUCGUUUGCUAUCAGACACUCAUCUGUCACUAUAAGAAAAUAGACUUUCAGCCACGGAUUUUGACCAUCCUUAAAUUUUAAAAAGGAUUUUGUUAAAAAUUUAAGAUACUAACGAUGAAUCAGAGACAGCUUAUAAAUGUCUUCCCUAAUUUUAACAUUUUCUAUAAGGUUAUCGACGACUCUUUCAUGAACCGCGACGACCUAGAUAAUUAGCGAUGGCCUUUUGAAAAGUCGUCUCUAACACUAUAAGAAAUUAGACAUUGUAUAUCAGACUUUGGAUGACGAAAAUCUGCCAUUAAAAUUGAUCAGUUGCAGAUUUUCGCCAUCAAAAAACCGUCAGGACGAUGAUCGCAAGAAGAUUUAAAUAGAGUCCCAAAUCAUGUAUGUAUUCACAACACAAACAAAUAUCCAAUUUCUCGAAGCCAAAACUAUAAUCUCUUUAAAUAUAUCAUUGUUCGAUUAUCUUGUUCGAUUUUUAUUAAUCUAAGAUGACGAAUUAAUAUACAUGAAAAAUAAAUAAAAAAAUGAAGAAUGAUUGAUACCUUCUAAGGGUACGAUGUUGGAACCGGCGCCGAUAGGAAUGAUGGAUUUUUUCCAUGGUGGAUUUUCGUCAUCAAAAAAUCGUCAGCGGAAACUAAAAACUUUCGCCCUCUUAUCCAAGCCUUGCCAUGGCGGAUUGAAAUAAUUAAUGAUGGCUUUUCGCCAUCAAAAAUACUAAACUUGUAAUGACAAAAAUCCGUCACUAUAAGUCCGACAUACAAUGUCGUUUUUUUUAUAGUGUAAUUUUUUUUAUUAUUUAUACCUAACUUUUUUUGGCAAAUAAUUAGGAAGGCCUUUUCAAAAGCUGUUCCUAAAUUUGUUAUUAUUAUUUUUAAAAAUUAAACCAAAAUCUUUUUUUAAACCCUCUAUUUCAAACUGAAAAUACCAAAAUCCUCUUCAAAGCCCAAAUACUCUUCAAACCCAAACCCAUCCUCAUCAAAUCCUAAACCCUCUUCAAACCCCCAAACUUAUAACCCCAAACCCCCAAACUUACUCUCCAACUCCUCCUCCUCCAAAGAAGCAACCUCUUCAAAACUCUCGUGAGUUUCCAUCAUCCUAACCCCGAUUCUCCCAUCCUAAUUAAGUCCUAACUCCCAUUCUCCGAUGAGUUUCCAGUAUGGAAUCGCCCGGUUGAGCGAUUCCAGUUCGACAGUGGGCACCCAUCAUCGGCAUCAAUGGGAAGGCGCACCUACUAGAAUCGCCCGAUUGGGUGAGUCCAGUCAAUAAUGGGUGACCAGAACCUAUCGUCGUCUUCCAUAGACGACCUGUGCUUCAUCAUAUUCAGACGAUGCACCUACUCCUACUAGAAUCGUCCAUUUGGGCGAUUCCAGUCCGAAGACGUCAAUUGGGGGGGGCUCUUGAAUUUUUCUUGUGUUGGGUGAGGGUCGUCGUCAACUAGGUGAGUGUCGUCGUCAUUUAGAUCUUCUUCUUAAUUCUUAAUUGGGUGAAUGUGUACGUUUUUAGAUUUUAUAAUCGUUUCCUAAUUUAUUUUGGAUUUUACUGUUUUUAUUAUGGUUUAUUAUGAAUUGUACAGUUAUAAUUGAUUUCCAUUAUGAUUCUUAUAAUAUAAUUAUGAUUCUAUAAACCACCUGAUAGAAGAUAUAUUUGAUAUAUAUGCAAAUAUAGAUAUGAAAUAUGGUUUAUGAAAUGUGAUAGAUGUUGAAUUAUGAAUGUAUGUAUGAUGAUAUGAUAAUGAACUGUAAAUUGAUACUGUAGGAUGAUCGGUUGAUCAGGGUUUGAUGAAGCGAUGAUCCACAGCUUGUUGAAGUGAAUUGAAGAUGAUUGAACUUGAAUCUGUGAUUCAAGUUGUUGUAUUGCGGAAGCGUUUGAAGAUUAGCAGUUGUAGUUGCAGAUUGAUCAGACAGAGUAUAACAGAGUCUGUAAUUGUAUUACAGAGCGUAUAGGUGUAUGAUCAUGUGUGUUAACUUAAACUAGGAUUAGAUAUGUUUAUAUAGAAGAACACCUAACGGCUAUGUUGGUUGGGUGUAUUUAAUUAUGGUAAUUAAUGUAUAUAGAAAUGUGUAAUAUGGAUUUGGGAAUUAAUAUAAGAUUGAAUAUUUGAUUGAUAUUUAAAUAUGAAAAGAUGGAAUAAGAAUGUGAAGAGUUGUGAUGAAAUUAAUAAGAGGGUGUUAAUGAUAAUUUUAGUAUAAUGUUAUAUGUGUGAUUUAUUUUAAAGUAGGGGUGUAUCUCUAAUAUCCUCCCUCAAAUCAAAACUGGUCAGGGUUUGAUUUGAAUAUAUGGGUGCAUUGGGGUGUUGAAGUGAAUUAAUUGGGUUUGAAUUCUUGGUGUGUAUAUCGAUUAGGUUUAGUUUUUGGAUUAGAUUUUUAAAUGCAGGACAACCCAAGGGUUUAGUGAAAAAAUCACCAAUGUUUUGUGUACUAGAAACGUGUCUUAGUGUAAUAUCUCCCGCUAAAACCUUGUCCCUCAUCGUGUGAAGAUCGAUCUCUAUAUGCUUUGUUCGUUGGUGUGAUAUAGGGUUUCGUGCGAUCGCCUCUGCUGCCGUGCUGUCGGUGAAGAUUCGUGGAGCCGGUGAUCAUCGUAUCUGGUAAAUUCCUAUCUCAUGUAGUAGCAUUGUUAACCAAGUUAUUUCACAUGUAGUGUAGGCCAAUGCUCUGUACUCGGCUUCAGCCGAUGAUCUUGAUAUGGUUUGUUGUUUUUUUGAUUUCCAAGAUACUAGGGAAGUACCAAGGAAGAUGGCAAACCCCGAUGUUGAUCGUCUGGUGGUUGGGCAACUUGCCCAAUCCGAGUCAGAAAAUGCAGAUAUGUGGUCCAUUGAGGAUCCUGUGAAAUGCAACCCCACACCAGGUGAUCCUUUUAUAUAUUUUAAUACUCUGUAGGCAGCUUUCAUGUGAAUGUCUGUGGGUGUGGCCAUGUGCUGACUUAGAUAAGUCACAGCAUAUGAUAUGUCUGGCCUUGUGCAAGUUAAAUAAACUAACUUGCCAAUUAUGCUUCUAUAUUGCUGUGGGUCCUCUAAUGGGAUUCCACAUGUCUCUGUUUUGUUUACUGCAUUGGUGUUUUAUUAAUGUGGUUAUUUGGUUGUAUUAAUGUGUUAUUAAGUUUUUCUGUUUUAUAAUUGGAAAUUUGUUUUUGGCUAUUUGGAGUAUUAUUUGGUUUGCAUUGAGUUAGAUCAUAUUUUUCCAAUAGAUCUAAGGUGUAUUUUCUUUGCCCAAUGUAUAGGCCAUUUGGUGUUUUUGUGAAUUCAAGGCCUAGGAAAUAUUUGAGUUCUCCUAAGUCUUUUAUUUUGAAAGUUUCGCUUAGGUUUCCUUUUAAGGUAUUUAUUUUAUCUAUGUUAUUUCCUGUUAUUAACAGGUCAUCAACAUAGGCUAAUACUAUUGUAGUAUCUUUAUCAUCAAUGUUUAUGAACAGUGAGUAAUCUGUCUUACAUUGUUUGUACCCAAAAUUGGAUAGAGCCUUUGACAGAGUUUGAUACCACACUCUGGAGGCUUGUUUUAGGCCAUAUAGUGACCUAUUCAGUCUGCAGACUGAAUUUGGUGGUGAGUCUUUUGGUAUGUCUAGACCCAGGGGAAUUUUCAUAUAUAUAGUUUCUUCUAGAGUUCCAUGUAGAAAGGCAUUUUGUACAUCCAUUUGAUGCAUGUGCCAUUUCUUGGAUACUCCUAUUGCUAAAAUGACUCUGAGUGUUGUCAUUUNNNNNNNNNNNNNNNNNNNNNNNNNNNNNNNNNNNNNNNNNNNNNNNNNNNNNNNNNNNNNNNNNNNNNNNNNNNNNNNNNNNNNNNNNNNNNNNNNNNNNNNNNNNNNNNNNNNNNNNNNNNNNNNNNNNNNNNNNNNNNNNNNNNNNNNNNNNNNNNNNNNNNNNNNNNNNNNNNNNNNNNNNNNNAAAGCCUCAAGCUCUUGUUUCAUAGCAUUGUUCCAUUUGGCAUAUUUGGAGGCUUCUUUGUAUGAGCCUGGGUCAUUGUUGGUUUCUAUUGUCGUGAUGAAUGCAUAGUGUUCUGGAGUGAAAUUUUGGUAUGAGAUUUCUUUCCCUAUUGGGUGUCUAGAUGAUGCCAGUUGUAGUUUAUAGUCUUUUAGGUAUGAAGGCAUUUUUCUAGUCCUUUUUGAUGUUCUGUUAGUGCCCUCAUCGUCUGUUGGUGUUGGUGUUUCAGUUAUUUCUUCCUCUUCUUCUGACUCAUAUUGUUCAGUGAGGGAGUUAUGUAUGUGUUUGUUUCUUCUAAAGGUUCUUUAUUGAAGAAGUCUUCCUCAUGUUGUUUAGGUUCUUCUUGGAAUGGGAAGAUUUCUUCAUGGAAAGUGACAUCUCUGUUUGUGAAGAUUUCUUGGUUUGAUGGAUUGAGUAUUUUAUAACCCUUUCUUUGGAAAGAGUAUCCUAGAAAAAUUCCCUUAAUGGCUCUGUUUUCGAAUUUUGUCUUUUUCUUGUUGUUUNNNNNNNNNNNNNNNNNNNNNNNNNNNNNNNNNNNNNNNNNNNNNNNNNNNNNNNNNNNNNNNNNNNNNNNNNNNNNNNNNNNNNNNNNNNNNNNNNNNNCUGUAGUAAGGGGUGUCAUUGUCCAGGACAACAGCUGGGGUUCUAUUUAUUAGAAAUACAGCUGUUAGGAUGCAUUCCCCCCAAUAUCUAAGGGGAAUGUUGGACUGGAUCAUAAGUGACCUAGCCACUUGUAGUAUGUGCUGGUGUUUUCUUUUAACUCUCCCAUUUUGUUGAGGAGUGUAAGGACAUGAUAGCUGAUGUGCUAUCCCGUUUGUUUUUAUAGUGUUCUGGAAUUCUUUAGACAGAAACUCUGUUCCAUUAUCUGUUCUUAUGGUUUGGAUAGUUGUUUGGUGUUGAUUUUUAACAUCCAAAAUAAACUGUUUGAAUUUUCCUAUUGUUUCAGCUUUGUCUGUCAUUAGGAAGGCCCAAGUAGCCCUUGAAUAGCCAUCUACUAUGGUUAGGAAAUAGUUGUUUCCUUGGUGUGUAGGUGUAUGGAAUUUGCCCCAAAUAUCUAGGUGAAUUAGCUGAAAACAUUUUGUAGCUGUUGAAAGAUAACCUUGUUUAUUUUGAUAAAGGACAUGUAUUACAAAAUUUUGAAAAAAUUUUAGGAAUACAAUUGUUCAAUAAAUGUAAAUGGUAGAAUCUAGAAGGUGCAGGAUGUCCUAGCCUUCUGUGCCAAAUUUCUUCAUCUUUAGAUUUUCUUUGUUGGUUAUGAUUGGCCUGGGGUGAUUCUAGCUUCAGUAUGUAUAGGCCAUCUUUCUUUUCACCACCACCAAUCUGGUUUCCCUGCUGGUCCUGUAUGGAACAGAAAGUAGGGUGGAAGGUGAAUAAGCAAUUUAUGUCUUUUGUUAAUUUGCUUACAGAUAGAAGGUUUACUGAGAAAGAUGGUAUUUUUAAGACAUUGUGUAAAGUAAUGUCUUUUGACAGGGUUGCAAGCCACUUGAUGAUACUCUUGUGGUUUGGGAGUUUGGAAGAUGUAUGUUAAUUGGAUAUAGAAGUGUUUUAACAUUUUGUAGUUUGGUGUUGGGAGAACACAUGUGAUCUGUUGCCCCUGUGUCAAUGAUCCAUUGAUCAUUUUUUGGUUCAGUGUGUGGUUUUGUGUGUGUUUAAAGAAUAAUGAAAACAAGUGUUGUUUUUAUAAUGUGACUUACCAGAUGAGCUUCCAGAAGCCAUGUGAGCCUGACUCUGGUUCCCUUUGGAGAAUCCUCCCAGUAUGUCUAUAAGCUCUUCUUUGGUGAUGAACNNNNNNNNNNNNNNNNNNNNNNNNNNNNNNNNNNNNNNNNNNNNNNNNNNNNNNNNNNNNNNNNNNNNNNNNNNNNNNNNNNNNNNNNNNNNNNNNNNNNNNNNNNNNNNNNNNNNNNNNNNNNNNNNNNNNNNNNNNNNNNNNNNNNNNNNNNNNNNNNNNNNNNNNNNNNNNNNNNNNNNNNNNNNNNNNNNNNNNNNNNNNNNNNNNNNNNNNNNNNNNNNNNNNNNNNNNNNNNNNNNNNNNNNNNNNNNNNNNNNNNNNNNNNNNNNNNNNNNNNNNNNNNNNNNNNNNNNNNNNNNNNNNNNNNNNNNNNNNNNNNNNNNNNNNNNNNNNNNNNNNNNNNNNNNNNNNNNNNNNNNNNNNNNNNNNNNNNNNNNNNNNNNNNNNNNNNNNNNNNNNNNNNNNNNNNNNNNNNNNNNNNNNNNNNNNNNNNNNNNNNNNNNNNNNNNNNNNNNNNNNNNNNNNNNNNNNNNNNNNNNNNNNNNNNNNNNNNNNNNNNNNNNNNNNNNNNNNNNNNNNNNNNNNNNNNNNNNNNNNNNNNNNNNNNNNNNNNNNNNNNNNNNNNNNNNNNNNNNNNNNNNNNNNNNNNNNNNNNNNNNNNNNNNNNNNNNNNNNNNNNNNNNNNNNNNNNNNNNNNNNNNNNNNNNNNNNNNNNNNNNNNNNNNNNNNNNNNNNNNNNNNNNNNNNNNNNNNNNNNNNNNNNNNNNNNNNNNNNNNNNNNNNNNNNNNNNNNNNNNNNNNNNNNNNNNNNNNNNNNNNNNNNNNNNNNNNNNNNNNNNNNNNNNNNNNNNNNNNNNNNNNNNNNNNNNNNNNNNNNNNNNNNNNNNNNNNNNNNNNNNNNNNNNNNNNNNNNNNNNNNNNNNNNNNNNNNNNNNNNNNNNNNNNNNNNNNNNNNNNNNNNNNNNNNNNNNNNNNNNNNNNNNNNNNNNNNNNNNNNNNNNNNNNNNNNNNNNNNNNNNNNNNNNNNNNNNNNNNNNNNNNNUGUUUCUUUUCUUUUUGUAAAAAGAAAAAAAGAAAGGAUUUUAGAAUAGAAAAAAUAUUUGAUAUUUUGAUCAGGAUUGAACCUGCUCUGAUACCAUGAUAGAAGAUAUAUUUGAUAUAUAUGCAAAUAUAGAUAUGAAAUAUGUUUUAUGAAAUGUGAUAGAUGUUGAAUUAUGAAUGUAUGUAUGAUGAUAUGAUAAUGAACUGUAAAUUGAUACUGUAGGAUGAUCGGUUGAUCAGGGUUUGAUGAAGCGAUUAUCCACAGCUUGUUGAAGUGAAUUGAAGAUGAUUGAACUUGAAUCUGUGAUUCAAGUUGUUGUAUUGCGGAAGCGUUUGAAGAUUAGCAGUUGUAGUUGCAGAUUGAUCAGACAGAGUAUAACAGAGUCUGUAAUUGUAUUACAGAGCGUGUAGGUGUAUGAUCAUGUAUGUUAACUUAAACUAGGAUUAGAUAUGUUUAUAUAGAAGAACACCCAACGGCUAUGUUGGUUGGGUGUAUUUAAUUAUGGUAAUUAAUGUAUAUAGGAAUGUGUAAUAUAGAUUUGGGAAUUAAUAUAAGAUUGAAUAUUUGAUUGAUAUUUAAAUAUGAAAAGAUGGAAUAAGAAUGUGAAGAGUUGUGAUGAAAUAAGAGGGUGUUAAUGAUAAUUUUAGUAUAAUGUUAUAUGUGUGAUUUAUUUUAAAGUAGGGGUGUAUCUCUAAUACCACCAAUCGAUUAAUCAAUUAUUAUUUCUAUUUUGGUUUCUUUUAUGAUUUAUAAUAUUAUUUCUAUAAUAAUUUCUAUAACUUACUUUUGUGAUUAGUGGUUUCUAUAAUCAACUAAUUACUUACUGUUUUGAUUACUAUUAUGUUAUUUGUUGUAAUAAUUUAAUGGUGAUUUUCAUAUAAUUUUUAUAUCAAUUUAAGUGAUUUUCCAUCUUUCACUACUAUUAUGCAUGAAUAUUUCAUGAAUGUAUGACUUAAUUAUUGUUUAGUUAAUUCUUUGAUUACACGAUUUAAAUAAAUUGUUUGAUAUUGAAAAUAGCAAAAUGGUAAAGAGAAACAAAUACCUCGUAGAGAUUCAUUUCCGGUACUUGCUGUUCCUGUCAUACAUGCAGUUCUGCCCAAUUCAUAUGAGAGUUAAGAAGGUUUCAAGAAAGCCCUCAAUGAUGUCUCAUCCUCGAGACUUAGUUGGUCAACGAGACAAAAGAGCACCGGCCCUGGGAGGUGUCAAAUAUAUUCCCAAAUUUCCUUUUUUUCUCCAUUCAUAACUCUUCAAAGAAGAAACCAAUUUCAGUUUUUAUUUUUCGAUUCUUGAUCGAUUUCUCUUAGAUUUCUCAUUUCUUGAUCUCAUGUCUUCACUGAUCUCAUUUCUUGAUACGUUUCUGUUAGCAUUUACGUGGUGGUUUUACAGAAUUAGGUAAAGUAGAAUAAAUUGGUAAAGUUUUUCACGUUCGUCUGUGAAUGCAGAAAUCAGUUUUUUGAUUCCUUUGAACAUUAUAAAAUCAAAAAGAACUCCGUGAAUAACCACAGUUCUGCCAAUACCUUCGCCUCCUUCUUCUUCAUUCUCUUCCGUCUUCUUCACAGUCUUACAACAACAUGGUAUCAUCGCUAGAAGAUUCUGCUUCCGCAUCCAAGGUAUUGGCGACGUCCGGUGAGCAACAGCUUCAUGUCAUGAAUCUCAAGUUUGUCACUUUUUAUCGAGACAACUACGUCUCCUGGAAAUCUCAGGUCAUGGCUGUACUUCGUGGCACUGAUCUGCUCAAACACGUGGAGGGAAAUGUCGAUCUCUCCCAUCCGGUUCUUGCUCACGAAGACCAGCUCAUCUUGGAGUGACUGCUGUCGGCCCUCUCCCCCACGAUUCUGUCUCAAGUGGCGAAUUUAUUAACCUCUGCUGAAGUCUAGAAGGGGUUGUCUACUUUAUACUCCUCCACUUCCUUGACGCGAGUGCUGUUUUUGCGUCGUCAAUUUUUGGCGAUUAAGAAGGGCACAAUGUCGAUGACUUCAUACAUCGAUCAUGCUCGGUCCAUGGUCGACAAUCUGAGAGCAGUUGGAGAAGUGCUUAAGGACUCGGAAAUCGUCCUCAAUGUCGUUGGAGGACUUGGUCCAGAAUACUCGGCAAUCUCCACCUCUAUUACCACCAUGUUUGAUCAUUCUAUGACAUGUGUGGAUUUUCAAGCAAUCCUUAUGGAUCUCGAUCUAAACGAUUCAUCAGUUGAAGCCGUCUCUCCCCCCAUUUCUGCGAAUGUGGCUGCCAUUUCCAAAAAACAUAUAUCUGAUGUUCGAGGUAAUUACCCGUGUCAAAUCUGCAAUCGACUCGGUCAUGGAGCAAUUAAUUGUUACAACCGAUUCAACGCUCAUCGCUCCCCCCUCCACUCACAAUCGGAAGUUAAUUGUUACUGGGAUUGGUUCAUCAAAUAAUCUUUCCACACCGGUGGCGAAUUAUGCAUCAUCUCGGUCCGAUAAUCAUGUCUCCGUCUGGUAUCUUGAUUCUGGUGCGUCCAUGCACAUUACAAAUAAUAAAUAGAAUCUUCAAUUUUCUAAAAAUUAUCCUGGUUUCACUACUAUUACCACAACAAAUGGUGAUCUAUGGAGAUAACUCACCUGGGAGGACUAAAUUCAAUUAUAAGCAUAGGGAAUUUUAUUUAAAUGAUCUACUGCUUGUUCCGUUUGCUUCCAAAAAUUUGCUAUCUGUUUAUCAAUUUUAUCAUGACAAUUCUGUGAAUCUUGAAUUUGAUUAUCAGAUGGUAAGAGUUCGGGAUGUAAUCACUAAGGAGAUUCUGAUGCAGGGUGAGCAGAGGAAUGGUUUGUAUCAACUACAUGUUCACAUUAAUCGGGGACCUGAGGCACAUUUGGGAGAAAAAGUAUCUGGACAAACUUGGCAGUGUAGGUUGGGGCAUCUACAUCAGAGAGCAGUGGAGGAACUAAUAAAUAAAAAUCAGAUAUCAAAAAACUGCAAGAAUUCUGGUGUGUGUGAAUCCUGUUAUAUUGGCAAAAUUUCAGCUUUUCCACACAGAUCUAGUUCUACACUUUAUAAAGAUCCUUUAUCAUUAAUUUUUGUUGAUAUCUGGGGGAUAGCCCCGUGUGUUUCAUUUGAGAGUUUUCGAUAUUAUGUGAUUUUUUUGGAUGUUAAGACUAAUCUCAAUUGGGUAUUUCCUCUUAAAUUGAAAUCACAGGUCAACGUGGUAUUUCUAAGGUUCAAAUCCUUGGCUGAAACUCAAACAGGGUAUUUGAUUAAAUCUUUUCAAUCAGAUAACGCCCUAGAGUUUAAAAAAUUAACAUCUGUGUUGGAAAAAUUUGGAAUUCGACAUCGUUUUUCUUGUCCAUAUAGUCAUCAACAGAUGGGACAUGUUGAGCGUCGACAUCGGCAUCUAGUCGAUACGGUUGUUACAAAUCUUUAACAUGCAUCCUUGUUCGACAAAUUCUGGGAUUAUGCAGUUAUCGCAAUCCGAUUGAAUCACAUUUUGGAAGCUCACCGGAUUACACAAAAUUAAGGGUGUUUGUGUGUAAAAGUUUCCCGUGUUUACGUCCCUAUCGUAAUUCGAAGCUAGGACGCAAAUCGACUCUGUGUAUUUUUCUUGGACACCCAGUGAAUCAUCAAGGGUUUUUAUAUUUUGAUCCCACUUCCGGCAGGAUUUACACUUCACGAGAUGUCAGGUUUAUUGAGGAUGAUUUUACACUAAAUUUAGCACUUCAUGAAAUUGGUCAUGAUUUCUCACAAUCUGAGGGAAAUCAGUCACUUCUUUUUCCCAGUUCGUAUAGUGACUCAUCAGCCCAAUAUUGCUCCGAGCUCAGAAAUCAUUGAGGAGGCAAGUCCCAUCUCAUCAGGCGCACACAAUCAUGAAAGUUCGAGUGAGUCUUGUAAUGAGAAGAACCCGGCUAGUUUUGAUGAGGAUAAAGAAUCUCCGGUUAUGUCGUUGUCGGAUCAUGAAGAAUCUGAACCGCAAGGUGCACAAUCUGAUUCAUCGAAAGAAGAACAAGUUGUUGAACCUCGUAGAACCCGAGUACGACAUCUUUAAACCAAGAUCGGCUAAGCAAGCAUUGCUAGUACCGGAGUGAAAAGAAGCAAUGUCGGCGGAAUUCUUAGCAUUAAAGAAGAACGAAACUUGGACCCUAACUUCAAGGAAUUCAGAUGAUAACGUAAUCAACUCUCUCUGGAUCUUGAAAGUAAAGCAACGGGAAGAUGGCUCGGUAGAAAGGCUUAAAGCACGACUGGUGGCUAAUGGGCUGAGACAAAUCGAAGGGCUGGAGUACAAUGAGACAUUUAGCCCAGUAGUUAAGCCAGUCUCGAUUCGGCUUGUCUUGACAAUUGCGGUGUCCAAAGGUUGGAAAUUAUUAAAGAUUGACAUUUCCAAUGCCUUCUUGCAUGGAAAAUUAGAGGAAUGUCUAGUAUUGAUACAACUAGUUGGAUUCGUUGAUGAGGAAUAUCCAAAUCACGUGUGUCUGUUGAAUAAGGCUCUGUAUGGGCUAAAACAGGCACCUCAAAUAUAGUUCAGAAGACUUAAGGAAUUUUUGGUCGUCUUGGGUUUUGUUCAAGGCUGGUCCAAUCCUUCACUAUUCAUUCUGAAAAGUUCUGACCCACAUGAACACAUUGUAUAUUUGUUCGUCUACGUAGACGACAUGGUUAUCACUGGCUCAGAUAAUACGAUAGUUGAGAAGGUGAUUACUAAAUUUAAAAGUGAAUUUGCGUUGAGAAGAUUGGGGGAUCUAUCAUAUUUUCUUGGCAUUCAGGUAAAAGCAACUAAUCAUGGGUUGCACCUCAAUCAGACACAGUAUCUGGUCAACUUACUCAGUAAUUGUCAAUUUGACAACUUGAAACCGUCUGCCACUCCUAUGGUUCCGAAUCAGGAUCUCCACUCUGAAGAAGAACCGAUUGAAGAAGCCAAGGAAUAUAGGCGAAUUAUUGGGUCUCUUCAAUAUCUGACUCUUACACGUUCAGAUAUUCAGUUCAGUGUUAACAAAUUAUCUCAGUACAUGUCAAAUCCCAAGUUAUUACAUUGAACAACUAUGAAUAAAGUGUUACGAUAUCUGUCAGGGACACAAAAGUUUGGGAUUAAUCUCAGCAAGGUUUCAAAAUUUGUAGUUUCAGGUUUCUUUGACGCUGAUUGGGGAGGUGACACCGAUGAUCGUAAAAGCCAGACGGGAUACUUAGUGUAUCUUGGAAAUUCGUUGGUGGCAUGGAUUUCCCGAAAGCAAGAUAUUGUUGCCCGUUCAAGCACAGAAUCGGAAUAUAGGGCGAUCGCCACUACAAUCACGGAACUGGAAUGGGUAAAGAAUCUUUUGAAGGAAUUGGGAAUUGAGAUAGAAAAUCCCAUGGUUCUUAAAUCUAACAAUUUAGGAGCUAUAUUUCUUGUUUCAAACUCGGCAUGUCACAUGAAGUUGAAGCACGUUGCGAUGGAUCUAAAAUACGUUAGAGAAAGGAUGGAAGUUGCCUCUAUUUGUGUUACACAUAUCUCUGGCAAGUUUCGACAAGCUGACGUAUUAACCAAAUCUCUGAAUCCCAAGAUGUUCAUUGAACAAAUAUCCAAUCCUGUGAGCUCCCUCCCACAAGAGUGAAGGAGCGUGUUAGUAUUUACGUUGUGGUUUUACAGAAUUAGUUAAAGUAGAUUAAAUUAGUCAAAGUAGAUUAAAUUAGUCAAAGUAGAAUAAAUUCGUAAAGUUUUUCACGUUCGUCUACUGUGAACGCGGAAAUUAGUUUUUUGAUUCCUUUGAACAUUAUAAAAUUAAAAUAGAACUCCGUGAAUAACCAUGGUUUUGCCAAUACCUUCGCCUCCUCCUUCUUCUUCUUCAUUCUCUUCCGUCUUCUUCACAGUCUUACAACUACAGUCUCUUUCUUUUGGCGUCCCUGUUCAUCGGUGUUCUUGUUCAAGGUAUUGUCAACGACGAUUCUUGUUCAAGGCAUCGGAUCGAUACUCAAGACAUUGGCGUGCCUUCUCAUCGAUUGAUUGCUUUCUGAAUACGUUGGUUUAUAAUUUCUUCUUUUAGAAUAAUCUCUGAUUGAAAAUCUAUAUGAUUUAGAAACUCAAAAAUUAUUUUGUGUAGGAUUCUAUUCUGAUUAAAACCAGUUUAUUAAAUCUAUCAAAUCUCUGAUUAAAAUCCAAUAAAUUUAUGGUUUGCUUAAUGUUUCUGAUUUAAUUAAGUUUUUAUAAUUAGAUCUAAAUUGAAUUAAUUUUUUAAUUUUCUGGUUUCUGUUUUUAAAUCAUUUUAGAUCUUGACUAAAUAAUCAAUUUAGAUUAAAUCUUUUAAUUGAAAAUCAUUGUUGAUUUUAUGUUUAAAUCUUUUUAGAUCUUGACUAAAUUAUAUAUCAAUUUUAAUUAAAUCUUUUAGUUUAAAAUCAUUUUUAUUUUCUGUUUAAAAUUAUUUUUAUCUUCAUUGAUUUUCUGUUUAUAUCUUGAAUAAAUUAUCAAUUUUACAUUAAAACUAUGAUUAAAUCAUUUAGAUUAAAAAUCAUUAUUAAUUUUCUGUUUUAAAGUAAAUCACUUAAACUAAAUCUACUGAAAGAUCUAAAUUGAUUCAAAUCAGCUUAGUUUAAAUAUUUUCCGCAUUAUUCUGAUUUGUUGCAAAUUUUUUAGACCUUGAUUAUUUCCUAUAGUAUAACCACUUAUGUUGAUUUAAUGAAGACCUCAUCUAUUUUUACGGUUAAAACUGUCAAAGAAUAUGAAGCAAGGUAGAUUAACAAAAUGAAUACUGAAAUUGUAUUACCAUGAAAACUCAAAUCAAACAAUUACACGAUAUCUAUUUAUAUUGUAUCAAACUAUAAUUAAGGUCUAUUAUAAUAUUUGUCUAAAAAUUCCUCCCUAAUUAAUGUUGUGUGUCGUGUCCAUUGGUGAAUAAGAAUGAUUGAUACUAUAUAUGUGAGGGGCAAAAACCCCCAUUGGUUAUUUAUUCUGAGAAAACCCUCUCAUAAUAUUAUCAGAAAAAAUUCAGAAAUAUGACAUUCAGAUCAAGGUUGAAAUUCUUCAGCUUAUGAUCGCAUUUAGUUGAUUCCCGCUUUUUUAUUCAGCAAGCAAUCCUUGCUUCUAAUAAUCUGUAAACAAAGAUAGACAAAACAACAAAAAAUAAAAUUAGUUUAUUAAUAAAAAAGUCAAUAUCUUACCCUUAUAAAUUGAAAUUCAUUCUGAGUUUCCUACACAGAUUUAAAAAUAUAUCAUGAGUCACAGCUUUUGUAAAAAUAUCUUCUAUUUGUUUCGCUGAGCAUAUAUACAAAAAAAAGUAGGCAGUUAGGACGAGCAAAGUUAACGGAAUUUCCGUUACAAAUACUAUAUUUAACGGAAUUUCCGUUAACUUUGGUCCAAGACAAAAUUUCCGUUACAAAUACCAAAAUCCGUUACAAAAAUCCGUUACAAAUACUCUAAAGUUAAAGUUAACGGAAUUUCCGUUACAAAUUUUUUUAGGUAUUUUAACGGAAAUUCCGUUACAAAUACCUAAAAAUUUCAAAAUGCAUAAAUUCCAUAAUACAUAUAAAUUCCUGUAAAUUCCAGUAUUAAUCAUAAUUCCUGUAAAUUUUAAAAUGCAUAUAUUUGUAAAAAAAUUUUCCUGUAAAAAUCAUAUAACAUUAAUAAUUUACAUUCAAUAUUAUUCACUAAAUUCAUUUAACACUAAUGAUUAAAAUCAUCUAACAUUCAACAAAUAUAACAUCUUGUCCCUAACACAACAUUAAUUCAUGAUCUAAUAUCUAAAAUUAAAAGAGAAUUCAUAAGGAGCUGAACAAUAGGAGUUGGAGUCGGAACUUGAGGAGUAUUGCUAUCUUUCCCUUUUAGCACCAUCAUUGAAUCCUUAUUCUGGAUCAGUUGACAAUUUAGUAUAGACUGAAAUAGAAAAUAAUUCUAAAUUAAGAAGAUUUAUUAGUAAAAACGCCAUUGAUAUUUGAUAAAAUAUUAACAAAAAAAUGAUNNNNNNNNNNNNNNNNNNNNNNNNNNNNNNNNNNNNNNNNNNNNNNNNNNNNNNNNNNNNNNNNNNNNNNNNNNNNNNNNNNNNNNNNNNNNNNNNNNNNNNNNNNNNNNNNNNNNNNNNNNNNNNNNNNNNNNNNNNNNNNNNNNNNNNNNNNNNNNNNNNNNNNNNNNNNNNNNNNNNNNNNNNNNNNNNNNNNNNNNNNNNNNNNNNNNNNNNNNNNNNNNNNNNNNNNNNNNNNNNNNNNNNNNNNNNNNNNNNNNNNNNNNNNNNNNNNNNNNNNNNNNNNNNNNNNNNNNNNNNNNNNNNNNNNNNNNNNNNNNNNNNNNNNNNNNNNNNNNNNNNNNNNNNNNNGGUUCUCUUCCCUGUGACGGGUUUUGAGAGUACCCGACCCCCUCCUUUAGUUCGCCUUUCUGCGAUAGGGGUUGAGUGUGAUCCCUCGUCUACCCACGUUCAUCCGUAGGUGAGGGUUAUUUUUUGAAUACUUGCCUCCUUUUUUUGCUCGCCUUUCCGCGACUGAGGCUCAGUGUGAUUCCUUGUCUACCUACGUUCAUCCGUAGGUGAGGAUUAUUAUUUGAAUACUUGCCCCCCUCCUUUUGCUUGCCUUUCGGCGACUGAGGCUAAGUGUGAUUCCUCGUCUACAUACGUUCAUCCGUAGGUGAGGAUUGUUAUUUGAAUACUUGCCCCAUCCUUUUGCUCGCCUUUCCGCGACUGAGGCUGAGUGUGAUUCCUCGUCUACCUACGUUCAUCCGUAGGUGAGGAUUAUUAUUUUUUGAAUACUUGCCCCCUUCUUUUGCUCGCCUUUCCGCGACUAAGGCUGAGUGUGAUUCCUCGUCUACCUACNNNNNNNNNNNNNNNNNNNNNNNNNNNNNNNNNNNNNNNNNNNNNNNNNNNNNNNNNNNNNNNNNNNNNNNNNNNNNNNNNNNNNNNNNNNNNNNNNNNNAGGUGAGGUUCACUUUUUGAAUACUUGCCCCUCCUUUUGCUCGCUUUUCCGCGACUGAGGCUGAGUGUGAUUCCUCGUCUACCUACGUUCAUCCGUAGGUGAGGUUCACUUUUUGAAUACUUGCCCCCUCCUUUUGCUCGCCUUUCCGCGACUGAGGUUGAGUGUGAUUCCUCGUCUACCUACGUUCGUCUGUAGGUGAGGUUCACUUUUUGAAUACUUGCCCCUCCUUUUGCUCGCUUUUCCNNNNNNNNNNNNNNNNNNNNNNNNNNNNNNNNNNNNNNNNNNNNNNNNNNNNNNNNNNNNNNNNNNNNNNNNNNNNNNNNNNNNNNNNNNNNNNNNNNNNNNNNNNNNNNNNNNNNNNNNNNNNNNNNNNNNNNNNNNNNNNNNNNNNNNNNNNNNNNNNNNNNNNNNNNNNNNNNNNNNNNNNNNNNNNNNNNNNNNNNNNNNNNNNNNNNNNNNNNNNNNNNNNNNNNNNNNNNNNNNNNNNNNNNNNNNNNNNNNNNNNNNNNNNNNNNNNNNNNNNNNNNNNNNNNNNNNNNNNNNNNNNNNNNNNNNNNNNNNNNNNNNNNNNNNNNNNNNNNNNNNNNNNNNNNNNNNNNNNNNNNNNNNNNNNNNNNNNNNNNNNNNNNNNNNNNNNNNNNNNNNNNNNNNNNNNNNNNNNNNCAUUAUCAUAUCUUUUUAAGUAUUUUGCUCAUUGCUAAAAAUGCAGUAUGAAUGCAGUAUGUCUUUGAAUCAAAGAUCUUUACUUGACAUUCUGCAGCCCUGUCACGAAUAUAGAAUGUUAGAUCAAAAGGAUGAGAGUGGAAGAUGGCGAGUGGAAAAAAACAAAUAGAAAAAGAAAAAUGUUUGAAAACGAGAUUGGGGGAAGAAAAUGGAGAAAUGUUGGUGGUUGAGAACGAGAUUGGGGGAAAGAGAAUGGAGGAAAUGACAAAUAGAAGUCCGACUGGAGUUACCUCGACUUGCCGGAGUACUGGAGUUACCUCGACGCGCCAGACUGGAGUUACCUCGACGCCGCUGAAAUGUUGGUGUAGUUGACCGAGAACGCCGUUGGUGGUUGAUCGAGAAAUGUUGGUGGUUGAGAACGAGAUUGGGGGAUAGAAAUUGGAGGAAAUGAUAUUGGGGGGAAUGAGAUUUGGGGGAAUGAAAAAAAAUGAGGGAAAUGAUAUUGGGGAAAAUGAAAUAGGGGGAAUGAAAUAGUUAAAGGGGGAAAUGAAAAUUAUUAAAUAAUUGCUAUUUGUAACGGAAUAUCCGUUAAAAAUAGUUAAAAAUCCGUUACAAUAUAUAAGUCCAUCUUGAUAUCUAGUAUUUGUAACGGAAAUAGCAAAGUUAACGGAAAUUCCAUUACAAAUUCCGUUAACUUUGAUAAUAAGUAUUUGUAACGGAAAUUUCGUUAACUUUGCUUCGUCCGAACUGCCUACUUUUUUUUGUAGUGGUUGUAAUUUCAGAUCACCAUUAGUUAUAAGAUUUCUGAUGAAAUAUAUAUCAGUCUCAAUGUGUUUUGACCUUUGUUUAAUUACCGGGGUUGAUGCUAUAAAAAUGGCAGAAUUGUUGUCAGAUAGGAUUAAAGGAGUAUGAUCUUUGAUUUUUCCAAGAUCAUUACAAAUGAAAUUUUCCACCUAAGUUCAGUUGCUAAUGAAGCUAAAGCUUUAUACUCUGCUUCUGCACUUGAUUUGGAAACAGUUAUCUGUUUCUUAGAGGUCCAAGUAAUUAGAUUACCUUCACGCAAACACAAAGACCUGCAGUUGAUUUUCUAUUACCUGUCUCCUGCAAAAUCAGAAUCUGAAUAUCUCACUAUCAUGUGUGAUUUUUGUUUAUUUCUAAUAAUUGUAAUCCAUGAUGUAAAGUGCCUUUAAUAUGUCUUAAUAUUCUUUUGGCGGCAACUAGAUGUGUUGUUCUAGGUUCUAGUGAAUAUAUAAACUAAUUUAAUUUUAUAGUGAUUUUUCUUCUUCUUUGCAAUAAAAUAUAUGUGAUGCCUUUUAUUCUAAUCAUUCAAAAGAAUAUUAUCAUUUAUCGUUGGAUUCUUAAUUCAUUAAAUUUCUAAUUUUUAAUUAUAUCUUUGAGAUCUUAUAUUAUACAUGUUUAAACAAUCAUUUUUCAUCUAUUUAAGAUUUUAUUCAAUUCUUUGAAAUAUUUAUUAGUAAAUUCUUUGAAAUUAAUUUUGAAGAUUUGAACUGAUUCUUCGUCGAUCUUUUAGUCUUGCGAAAGUUCUUCUCCAAUCCUCUGAAUAAUCUUUAGUCGAUCUGGAUCGCGAUUUCUUGCAUGCGAUAUGAUUGCAGUCUGCUCGCGAUUAGUCUAACCAACUACGAUCUUCUCCUCGUGAUUUUGGAUUUACUGCUCGCGAUCAGGCUUCUCAACAUUCUGCACGCGAUUUCUGCACGUGAUUUCUGCAUGCGAUUUCUUCACAUGAUUUCUGCACGUGGGAGUUGAGUUGUCAGAAUUCUACUGCUCGUGAUUCAUAGAUUACCACUCGUGAUUCUGACACCGGCUUCUCCUCACGAUUUCAUAUACUCACGGAAGUUCGCUCUGACCUAACGAUCGCGAUUGUGAUCUUGGAUCAUGAUUGCUGCUCGCAAUUGAUCUAGACUCAUGAUUUUUCUUGUUAUUCCUUGGAUCUUCUUGCGAUUCUGACAGUAUCUGGCUCUUUACGAUUUCUUUGUCCGCGAUUGUAUUGAUUUUGCAUUUUGCCGAGCGUCCGCAAAAUUAUUUCUUGAAUUGCGAUUGUUUCGGUGCAUGACUUCUAUGCAAUUUGGGAUUCCGUAAUUGUCUUCGUUCUCGCGAUUUCUGUUUGUGAUUCAUUCUUCUAGUGAUUUUUGGAUCGCAUUCUGCUUAUGAUUUUCGUAUUCUACUCGCUCGCAGAUCUGGAAAGGCUAAAUAGUAGUUGAACACUACAAAAAAAGGACCUUGUAUAGCGGUCUUUAGAUGGCGGAUAUCCGCCAUCUAAACAAACACUGAAUUAUUGAUGGCCGAUGUCCGCCGAGGAAAGGUUUUGGCUCGACGGCGGUUUAAAUUUAUUUUCGAUGGCGGUGUUUCCACCAUCUAAACUAUCCCGCCCAAAAUUUCGAAUAACCCUCAAUAUUCAGCCUGAUUACCCGAUUAAAUUGACUUAACAUGGCGGACAUCUGCCAUGUUAAGUUUUCGGGGAUUCGGGCGGAAAAAGCCCGCCUAAAUUUCAAUUGGGCGGUCUUUCACUUAAAUCCCGGCGGAACUUAAGUGUACUUACAUGGAGGAAAUCUCUGAUGUAAGCUUUGGGGUUUAUAAAAAGCCCAAAUCAGAACAGAGAACGCACCUUGCUGAAACGUUGCUGCCGUCGCCGAAUCGCUGCCUCUAUCGCCGUCAUCUGCUCCUGCCGGUUGCUGCCGCUCGCUCCACCGGUCAUCGCGCCGUCAUUCCCUCCUCAGUCCGCCGGUGAUCGCUCCCCCGUUCCAGUGUUCCCUCCUCAGUUCCCACAACAAAUCGCCGCCGGUUUGAUUUCUUCCCAAUCACUCUUUGAUACAGAUCCCAAUCGAAGAGUUAAUCACUAUGAGAGAAACCAUAGCUCGAAUGGCAUAAAGGUUAAAAGAAGGUGAAACCACACGCAUAAUUCGGACAGCCCGGUAUACAAGGGGUCAGACUUCAACACGCCUCUCAGGCCAAGGUUCGGAAAGGCAAAGGGCAAAUAGUCACACAAAGUCCAGACCCCUCGCACAUAAAAGUCAAGGGAAGGAACCCCUGCCAGAGAGUCAGAGGAAAGUCCAAAACCCUAUCAAAUCCCACGUCCCACACAGAGAGGGAACGGGGGAUUCAGAAAAUACAACACGAAGGCGCCCAGUCUUAUUCGAGGCCAUGGAAUCUUUAAACAGUUCGUUAAUGAUAAACCCAACACCAAUAGGGUUCAGGUUGCCAAAAUUGCCCGAAUACGAUGGAAAGCAGGACCCUGCAGACCAUAUAAAUAUGAUCAGGCAAUGCAAUGGGUAACAGAGAGGGAUGACAUAUUGUGCAAGGCUUUUCCAGGAAUCUUGAGAGGAACCACAUAUAGAUGGUUCGCAGAUCUACCAGUCCAGAGCAUUAAAAACUUCUCUGACCUAAGAGAGAAAUUCCUGGCUCAACACUGUGGCAAUGUAAAUGUGAAGAAGGGAACAUAUUCGUUGUUUCUAAUAAAACAGAACAGUGAUACCCUCAGGGAUUACACAAGCAAAUUCACUGAGGCUAUGCAAAAGGUUUCCAACCUCAAUACGACCAUCGCAAUCUAUGCGUAUUCAAGCGGUUUAGACAUGAACUAGCAAUCAAGCUAAAUGUAAAACCCGUGACCAGCAUAGAAGAAAUGAUGGUUCAGGCACAGAAGUACAUGAACUCCAAAGAAAAAGAAAAAGAGAAUGUGGCCACCGCAGCAAGGGCAUUCAAGCCACAGAAAGAAAAAUUCAAUUUUUUUGAAAAAGGGGAGUCAUCAUGGAAACCCAAACAUGAUAGAAGAGUCUAUCAAAUAUUAGAGGAACCAAGGAGAUACAGGUUUCAUAACUCUAACAAUCCUUUCAAUGCAUCACAUCAGGAAAUAUACGGCAGGGAGAAAGGAAAAAUGAAAUUUCCAGAGCCCAUUCCCCUAGAUCCCACCACUAAAGAGGUUCGCGAAAAGAGCAGAAGUCAGGUACUGUGAGUUCCACAAGGAUUAUAAGAUGGCAGACAUCAGCCAUGUAUAAUAUGGCACGGAAAAAGUUAACGUCAAUUCAUCGAUGGCGGUUAUUUAUAUUGAUGGUGGAUUUCUGGCGAUGAUCUUUGGAAAAUAAGAUGGCGGACAUCCGUCAUAAUAAAUUCAUUAGGCGGUUACCUCUAUAGAUAGACAGCGGAAAUUCGCCAUCUUUAACUUGGAGAGGUGGUUGUCCCCGUAUAUAGAUGGUGGAAAUCCGUCAUGUAAACCUUAGUCUAAUAGUGACCAUGGCGGAUUUCCACCGUACAAUGUGUUUAGAAUUUUUUUAAAAAACAUGCUUUUAAAUCCUGCAUUUGAAUCGUUAUUUUUUUAAAUUAAAAACACGAUUAUGAAAUUUGAAAUGAUGCCUUUUCCAUUCCAAUUAGGAGCAGUCCAUCUUUCAUUGGUUGGACUAUAUACCAUACUGGCUGCUUAAUUCUCCAAUCCCCAAUAUCCUAUUUUUUUAUUUUGGCCGAACGUUUUGUUGACCGUCGCCUUAAAAAAGAAUGAAACUUACAAUUGGAGUCAGAGAUUCCACUUCAGCCAAAGAUUUUUCUUCUUGACUUUUAAUAAAUUCGGUGGCUUCAUGCUGAAAGAAUAUUAAAAUAAAAAUAUUAGAAUAGAAAUAAUAAAAUAGAAAAAUAAAAUUAAUAUAAAAAAAUAACUUACAACUUCAUCGUUUUUCUUAUGUCAUCUGUAUGUCUCGGAGCAAACUUCGAUUUCAUUCCUUCCGUGUUGUUUUUAUAUCAACAUAAUUAAUUAAUAUAUAAAUAAUUUAAAUUAUAAUAAUUACUAAUUCUUGAUGUAGUUGUGCUAAUCAUUUUGAACCAACGUGAUGUGUCAUUUGAUUCGUUCGGUUCGUGACAUUUAAUUUAGAAAUUUAUUUAAAUUUUAAAAAAUAAGAAAUAAUAACUUUUAAAAUAUUAUUAAUAUCAAAUAAAUAUAUACAUAUACGUACCAUUCCACUUUCCUAUCGUGAUUGUCUCAAUUUAUUCGAAAUUGAGAUUUGCUGACAUAAGGUGGAAGAGUUGCUAAAAAAAUUUCUGGACUCAUAUUUGGAUCUCCGACAUAUUGUUUGAUCAAUGAAUUAUGGUUGCUCCUCUAGAGUUUGUUCAACUUAUUAUUGAUAUAAGUUUGUGCCACUUUGCUUUCACUCAAAUCAUAUUCAUUCUACAUAUUCAAAACUUAUAAGUUUUGAAAAAUUAAUGAAUAUUUAAAAAAAAUAUAUACUUACAGUUAAUAUUUUCAACGCAUCUUGAAAAUUUAGUAAAGGUUGAUGACGCGACUCAAUGACCGUAGGAUGGCGAGCCCCUGGUAGCAGAUUCAGUGUUUCAUCAGCUGGCGCCGUCUGUGGGAUUAUUGAACCACCGAAAUCGUAAAAUUUUCUGCGCAAAGUCCGGCUUGAUCUCUCCUAGAGGGAUCGCUGACUUAGUUCACUGAAAUCGCCGAUUCUUGUUUGAAGCUUUGAUUGGAUUUCUACAAUAGAUAUCGCCGACUUCACCCUGAGAAUCGCCGAUUUGGGAAAUUGUCUGCUAGCUAAGAGAGUUGUCCACGACUCUUUUCAAAAAGCACCAAGAGUUGAAAUCGCCGAUCCCACCUAGGGAAUCGUCGAUUUGCUUAGCUCUUUAAACAAGCUCGGUCAAAGUCCUUCUUGCUUCGGAACUAUUUCACUUUUGUUUUCAAUGGCCCCCGAAAAACCAAAGCAUUCUUACUCCACUAGACAGAGUAAGAAGAUCCUGGCAAGAAUGCCACAGAUACCUGAGGAGGAUUACGCUGAGCCUUCUAGGGUAAACAUACCUGAUGGGAUUCAGGCUCACCUUAAUGAGCCCCUUCGGCUUAUCACAGCUCCUCAGCAGAAUGAGGAGCAAAUGAUACCGACUCCUCCCAAUCCUCCUACUGUGGAAGAAAGGUUGAUCAAUUUCAUGGAGGACAUGGAAAGAAGAAUUAACAACCUCGAGACUGCGAGGAGUCGAAGAACCGUCACCUGAGAUGAGACGGGUGAGUCGAAGUCAUACUAUUCUCCAUCUGCGGAGAAAACAAAGUAUAGUUCUCAUCGUAGGUCAACAGCAGGACCUAGUCGCACUCAAGCGACUUUUACAACACUGUUCGUCGGAAGCUGGCUAACGAUCCACUCGUAGGCAGUCCGAACGAGUUUUUGAGGACCAGAAGAAAUGAAUUAUUGAUGGCGGAAAUUCGCCAUCAAAAGACCGCUAUACAAUGUCCUUUUUUUGUAAUGGUAGAAAAUGAGAUAUCUAAUCUUAUGAAUAGUAAUAAAACAUUUUGAAUAACCAAAAUUUUACAAUAAAUUUAAUCCUUACGUCAGUAUCGUAAUGAAAGGUACAGACAGAAGACAAAAACUAAUUUCACAAACAGUUGUUUGAUGGAAAUUCAUUCUGAAUGUUGUCAGCCUGCCUCGAGAUCGUAGCCAGCCGUUUUUAAAAAUGAUGUGAUGUGCAUGAAAAAUGGGAGACCAUAGGAUGGUAAAAGCUAAAAAUUUAGGGGUUCGGUGCAAGAUGACUCAUGGAGGGCUCGACAUAUUAGAUAUUUAGUCUAUAUAUUUAUAGGUCGAUUUACCAAACAUGUAUAUAUAUCGGCAAUAAGCUAGAGAUGGAGAGGAGGAAGAGGAUAUAUCUUGGUGAUCUUCUUCUUCUUAUAGAUCUUCUCUUCCUCGUUUCACAUGCUGCGGCAGAUGAUUUCUUCAAUUGCGUCGAAACAACAUGGGGCAGGAGUAGAGGUGAGAUUAUAUGGACAGAGGUGGACUGCAACAACUUUCUCUCGAUAAAAUAUCCAGAUCAGGAUUUCAGUGCAAACAGGAAUACUUGUUUGGAAGAAUCGAUAUACAGAUCAAAAUUGUUCCUGGCAACUCGGAUGGAAUAGUUACUGUUUAUUAUGUACGUUCAUUUUUUCUCUUUCUAUCUGAUUAUUGAUCAAAAUAUGCAUGCUCCAAGCUUUUGUAUAUGGUCGCAUAUGCGUACAUAUGCGACUAGGCUCAUUCCCCCCAUCGCAUAUUUGGAGGGUCGCCUAUUUUUGGGUCUUAGUCGGAACGAAGUCGGAUCUGGCUAUGCCCAACCCAUAUACCCAAUAAACAUUUGAAAAAUAAAACUUUUAUAAUAAAAAUUAUAAUACUUUAAAACUUAAGUACCUUAAAAAAUCCAAUUAAAUAACAAUAUUAAAAAUCUAAAAUUUCUAAACCCUAACUCCAAAAACAAAACCGUUGCCUCCAUCCCACCACCUCCUCAAUCCAGAUCUUCCUCCUCUCCUCUCAUCCUCGCCGGACUUCCUGUCACCUAGCCGAAGCCUAUAUUGCAAUCGUUGGACGUACCCUGUCAGCUCGCCGGACAUCCAGAUUUCUGGACGGGUUUUUUUCUUCUAAUCUUUUCAUGUUGAAAAAAACUAAAAAAAUUCAAUAAAAAAACGUCGCAUAUGCGACUAGACGCUCGUAUAUACAAUAUGCAGAACUAGGCAUCACCUAGCCUCCUCAAAAAGCUUGGCAUACUCCCAUACUCUGCUCCUCCUACCAUAUAUGCAGCUAUCGUCCCAGGGAGAUAAUCAUGACGAGAUAGAUUUUGAGUUAUGAGAGAUGGGAACCCUAGAAUCAUGAUAUUUGGGAAUAGUUGAUUAAAUUAAAAACCAACACCGCACAUUCAUAAUAUAGGCAUAUAAUAUGAGAUCUGUAAAAUAAAUAUUCGAUAUUUAAUAUAAAAUCCAUUUUAUUCAUUGCAUGUUUGAAUUUAUAACAAUCAGUCAAUAAAUUUAACUAUAUUGUUCAUGAUAUGACCUGUAGAGGUCUACUUUAAUUCAGUUUAAUAUGAUUUCAUAUUAACAGGGAUAUUGUCAUAUAUUUAAUAGACAACUGACCAACGAUGAUAUGAACUCCUACGUUUGGUAGGCAGUGCGUAAGCAAUCUCAUCUAAGUCGAACAUGUGAACCAACCCAUACCCAAACUACUGUUCAUGACCUGUGAUAUUCAUGUAAGGAAUAAGGUUGACGUCCGUAUCUUCAAUAAGACUUCGGCAGAUAGGACAUGUCAUACAAAUCUUAAGCUACGCACUCUUCGAUACAUAGACUGUGAAAUGCAUGCUCACACUUGGGUAACAAUCGGAGAAGCUUUGUAUUUUCGAAAUCCAUCACACAAAUGCUGCACAUAAGCCCUUCCUCUUUUUUGAUGUACUUUUCGUAGAAGACCACAGGUAAUUGUUGUAUUAAAGAGGAAUUUACAUCAUGGCUAUCGUCAUUGUUAUUAUUUAUAACAAUACCAGUAUUAUUGUUAUUAUUACCACCACCAUCACCACCAUCGCCAACACUACCAAAACGACUUCGUUGACUUCGGGCACGAUAUCGUUGGCAUAACCAAUAAACGAAGAUGAGCAAGAAGAAUGAGAAAACGAAACUCACAAGAAAAAUAAUAUCGUUUCGUUUGUUGUAAUGCUUAUCAUGAUCGGUUGAGUUGUUAGGAUUAGGAGAAAUAUUAGGAGAUGAUGUAGAUUUUAAUCUUCGAUAAUUGUAAUUCUCCAUAAAAUUCACCAAGAAAGUAAUAAAAUUUAAUUGGUAAUUAUUUUUUUCAAGAAAUAAAGAAAAUCGAUACAAGAAAAUUCUCAUAUACCUUGAUGGUUUGAUGAUACGAUGGUUGAUAAUCAAGUUGUGUGUAUAAAUAGGAUAGGAUUUCAAUAUAUAUUAUUUUUUUUGGAUAGGAAAUAUCAAAAAGGUCCG